GCUGAUUUUCAGCGAGUGUUUUACUCUGGGGACAGCGCUGGUGCUAAUAUUGCUCAUCACAUGGCGAUAAGAAACGGUGGAGAAAUUAUCGACGGCUUUAAUGUUGUUGGUAUUGUCUUGAUUCAUCCAUACUUUUGGGGUGUUGAACCUGUUGGUUCCGAGCCUACUGAUGUUAAAAUAAGAGCUGGAACGGAGAGAUUUUGGCUAUUUGCUUGUCCAAGCACAAGCGGGCUCGAUGAUCCGUGGGUUAAUCCGUGUGCCGACGGUUCGAGCCUCGCAAGCCUGGGGUGCGCCAGGGUGCUGGUGUUUGCUGCGGAGAAGGAUUUCCUGUGCCCUAGAGGAUGGUUUUACUAUGAGAAGUUGAAGGAAAGUGGGUGGGGAGGCCAUGUGGAGAUAGUUGAGUCUAAAGGAGAGCAACAUGUGUUCCAUUUGUUCAAUCCCACUUGUGAAAAUGCUGGGUCUAUGCUCAAGAAAAUUUGUUCUUUCUUCAAUCAGGAUAAGCCUUGAAACUGAAGGGUUAUUUGCUUUGGUUCGGCAAAUAUUUGGGAGGAAAGAUGAAUAAGGUAAUUAUAAUAACUCUAGUGUGUGUGUGUGAUUUUCUUUCCUUUUUUUUUUUUUUUACCUCAGAAGAAAUAAGAUAGGUUGAUUGCGGCUAAAUACAAGUGGGAUUCCGUGGAAUCAGAAUUCGGAAAAGGUUUUGGCCUUCUGGAAUCAUUGAUGUAUUAAUAAUUAGAUUCAAUCGUAAAUCAAUUAAGACAACUUGAUGUAAUAGUAGUACUGUUCACGGAGUCCAUCGAUUUCUCUUUGAUUUCGGAUCAGAAUAUAUCCAAUAUGAGCUCUGUUUCUUUCAAUUUUCAGCAACUUCAUUCAUUUCACUUAGCAAGUUAUCCUACUAAUCUGGUGAUUUGCUGAUAAAAGAUGAUCAUGAUAACGGUCGGACACAGUUGACUGCCGGUCUUCAUAAUUGUUUUAUUAAUUAAUAAAAAUAAGUUAAAUAAAAUUAAAGUAUUAAAUAAAUAUGACUUGUAUGAAUGUCAAUAAUCUAUAAUACAAAUAUAGAGAAAUAAAUAUUUCUGCAUGCCAACGUGAUGAAGAUGAAAAUUUACUUUGUCAUGUCUGUCUUUCAGAAGAAAAACAAAUAUUGUGAUUUCUAUUGGAUGGAGCAAGAAAAAAAUUAUCAAUAGUUUUAUACUGGAAAUGCCACAAUUUCUAUGAAGUCGAAAAAUAUCUACACAAAUAUUUGGAGACAGCAGAGUCUAAACGAGAGCCGCACGCAAUGCUGUGGCUAUGCUCAAUCAAGAUAUGUAAUGCCUAAGCAUAAAAUAUUCAAUAAUUUGGUUGUUGAUCAGAAGGAUAAUUUGCUUGCCACUUAUUGAAGAGACGUGGAGCCAAGCCAAUCAGAGUUGGUGAGAAAUAAAGAGCGUGGUUUAGAUAAAUCCACAAAGAAGGCAGUCCUUACCAAACAAAAUUUUCUACCAUCUUCAACAAAAACUGAUACGAUUUUUGAAAUUACAGUUUCGGUUAUGAUAAUUCAAGGAUUAAAAUCUUACCAAUCCUCAUAUUAUCUUGUCCCAAAAAACAAAAACAAAAAAUUGAAAGAGAGUGGUUUGGCACUUACAAAACUAUUACAAGGUGACGUGUCAAUAAUCAACUCCACUAACUCUUUUAAUUUAAUUUGCUCAAUUAUUGUUAAUUUUUUAAUUAUGUAUUUCACUUCAUAACUCCUUUUUCAUUUUUUUCUUAAUGAGUUAUCGUAACAUUUGUCUUGAUUUACAUGGGCCUAAUUGUAUUUGUUUGGACACCAUUUUUGUCCCUUUAUCAUUUUUAUUUUAUUUUUUAAAUUGUAAACGUUAUCCACUCUUGCUGCCUUCCACAUACCAAAUCUUGUCUUCAUCUCUGCAUGUUUUUCUGCUCCAUUUUCCUUUCUCCUUCUCCUGGAGAACAGACAAAGCCCGUCAAUAUUUUUCUGCACUUUUUCUCUACACAUGGAUUCCACAGAGCCGGCAGCAGAAAUAGCCAUCGACCUCUCUCUCACGAUAAAAGUAUACAAAGAUGGCAAAGUAGAAAGGCUCAAAGGAAACGACAUCGUUCUUGCAUCAUUUGAUCCCAAAACAAACCUUCAUUCCAAAGACGUUGUGUAUUCACCAGAAAACAAUCUAUAUGCUUGCAGGGGCGGAGACAGCAUAUUGAUUUAAAAGAUAAUAUGAGUUUUCAUAUUAAAUAGAUAAAUUUAAAAAAAUUUAUCAUACUUCAAUAUAUGUUUACAAUUGUCCUUUACGAGUUUUCAUACAUUGGUAACGUUGCAUUACAACUUCAUUAUCAAUAUUAUUAAAUAAGUCUUUUUCUAUGUGAACAACUAAACUAUCAUUCAUCCAUUGCUCUCCCAUUCGGCUUUGUAACCGAUUCUUCAAAAUGUUCAUAGCUGAAAAUGCUCUCUCUACACUCGCAGUGGCAACAAGUAAGUCAAUGCUAAUGUUAUUAACAAGUAAACUAAUGGAUAUACAUUAUGUCUCUUAGUCUCGACCAUCCGCUUUGCAAGAUCACCAAUAUCCUUUAAUUUUGAAAACUCACCACUAGUGCGCAUAUCCAAAAUAUAUGUAUCAAGUUAAGUCCCAAGUGCCAUGAUAUCAAUUGUAGAGAACUCAUUUGGAUACAACUGGGCUAGCCGUAAUAGCUUCUGCUUGUUGAAAGCUGAAAAUAAAUCAUUUGGAGAUAAACAUGCUAAGCAAAGAAGCAACUCAGUGUUUGUCUCAUUAAAACGAGAAUUAAGCUCUUGAAGUUGCAUAUCUAAGACUGCAUAAUACAAUUCAACAUGAUAACGAUGCAAAUAUGUGAUCUCUUGAGCUUUAUGUUGUGAUCGCCCUUUAUCCACAAACAUAUCAUCCAUAUUAGGCACAUCAAUAUCAUGCUUCACACAAAAAAAAGUAACUUCAUCAAUUAAAGAAUUCCAUCCACUUUGUCUCAUUGUUUGAAGUUGUAGUUUACAUAACCUAACCAAGUUCAUAGCAUUCACAAUAUCUUGAUCUUUCCUCUGUAAUGCUUGUGAUAACUCAUCUGUAGCCCCUAAAAUAUUCCUCAUCAAAUGUAAACAGAACACAAAAUUAAAUGACAACAUCAACUCUAGUGAAUUCUUUGCUUCUCCUCUUUGCCCAGAUUUUGGUUCAUCAUCAAUAAUCAUUUCCAAUACACUAAUUACUGUUGAAAACAUGUUAAUAAUGCUCAAAAUGUAUUAUAAUAAAGAUUAUGAAUAUUGAGUACUUUACUUAGGCUAGUAGCACUUUUAGCAUAUUCCCCUAUUAUAUAAUUAUAUUAAUGCUAUAAAUUAAUUAACAAACAGUACAAGACAUUAAAGUUAAACAAGCAAAUGCUUAAUUGCAAUUGUUAUUUUCUUAAUCUAAUAAUAUGUGUUCUUUUUCAUGGAAUCUACACUCAAUCACAUUAUAUUUUUCAAAUAUACCAAUAGCCAUAUGAUACACUAACUAAGGGGGAAGAAAAACAACUAUAACAUCAAUUCAACAAAUAAUUAUAUAUGAUUUAUAAACAAUAAAAUAAAAAGAAAAUAAAGUGUUAACUUGUACCUUAAUUUUAUUGAAUGAAGAGAUGAGGGGUUGUUUGAAAUUUGGAGGAAUAAAUGAAAAUCACUUUCCACUGUCACUACUGUUUUGCUUUUGGAGAUGCCGAAACAAGAAGAUGAUUUAGGGAUUUGCGUAUGGGUGCAGGACGUAGUGGAAUUGGAGAAGGUAAAGAGUAAUAAAAUAUUAUUAAUAGGUUUGUGGGCUGUUUAAAAAUUUGAUUAAUAUUAAUAUUUAUGGGCUUGAUUUUAGUUUGCAAAGCCCAUCUCUUUUUAUUUGUUUUAAAAACUUAGAGUGUGAGAAGAGUGGUGAUAUUUAACCCCCUAAUUAUAUCUCACAAACCCCCACUUUUCAAUUAACCCCAUUAAUAAUUUUAAAUUAAUUUUUAUCUCUUAAUAUACCCCACUUAAUUCCUAAUUUACCCUUAUUAUAAUUUUUAUCUUACUUCAUGCACCCAUUUAUAAAACUUAUAAAAAUUAUUUUAAAACAGAAAACAAUUCUCAUAAUCGCCACCGUAACCAUGGAAAAGAAUUUAAUAAUUCCAAUAAGGAUUGGACCACGAACCAUGCCAAGUCAAUCCUAAAAAAUCAAAGUAUCAUGCUAAGUCUAUCAAGCCCAGAGUGAGUAUAGAAAUACAAGAAUUAGCCAAGGGGGUAGACAUGAUAGUUUUGGAAUUUCUUGCAAGUGCAGCUACCUUUUUCAGCAUGAGGAGGUAUGGUGUUUACAAAUUCAAGAAAUUAUAUAUUUAAGUAUUGUAGUUAGUUUCAAUUUGUAUUGGCUUUUUUAGUUCUUUGAGUAUCUUGACUGGUUGUUUUUUUGUUUACAAAUUGGAGAAUUUAUGUAUUUCUUCAUAGCUGUGAAUAGUCUUCCAAGUGUUUGUCAUUUUUACUGACUGAAUAAAAUUAUUACUUUCAUUCUCUAUAAAAAUGAUCAUUACUGUUUUUUUUGUUCUAUAUACAAUUUAUGAAGUUUUGCAACUGCCGAGUAGAUUUUGACCACCAAAGUGGCCAAAUUUCUUAAAUAAGCAUGCAUUAUGAAUCUAUCAAAGUAGAAUUAGGUUCAAAAGUAGCUAUUGUAACUCUCAAGUAACCCUUCUGAUUGUAAUUUCCUUGCUCAUAUCACAUAUUUAACAGUUUUUUAACCUAUUUACACUUGCAAGAAAUAACAAAAGUAAAAACUAAUUAAAUCUUAUUUAUUCCUAUAUCAACAUCUGGAUAUAGCUUUUCUAAAAAAAAAAAAUCUGAAUAUAACUUCCUCUUAAUGAAAUACUCAGCAGAUAGUACAAACUUCUCCAAAGCAACAGCUGCAUGGCUUCAGUUAACACAACAGAAGAACUUUUCAUGACUUUCCUUUCCCCAUUAAUUAUUUUUUAAUAACAAUCAGUUUUAAGGAUUUGAGAAAACCAGGCAAUUAAAACAUCGACAUGAUCUCUAAUAGCACAAAUAAACUGAUUUUCGUAGCUCUUACUCCAAAUAUUGUAACAAUGGGUAGUUGGGUACUACAUUCAACCAGUGGCUCUGUAUCCCCUCUUAGUGUUAAUAAGUUGUUGCAGUUUCUCUGGAUAAAAUUGUAGUUUCUAAAUAAUAUAUGAACUGAAAUACUUAUUACAAAACAACUUGCCGAAAUCAUUUAAAAAAACAAUAAAAAAUGGAAACACUUAUUGAUCAUCCAAAUCAAUUGUGUCUUUGCUUGCUACAUUAUGUACUAAAUCUUUAAAAGCAAUAAUGUUCCUAUCAUAUGGAGUUGCCCAUCCUUCUGCUAUAGAAGAAUGAUAUUUUAACUAACUACUUGCUAUUGGUGGCAUCGGUGAAUCUGGAUUCAUGACUACCUGUAAUAAAAAAGUAAAAUAUUGAAAAAAUCAUAGUUAACAAGUGUUAAAAAAAAAAAAUUUCUUUUCUUUGAGGGUUGUGGUAUGAAAUAAUAAUUAUUAACAAAAAGUCUAAAAAACUACCUGUAUGAAAUGACAAUUGUGAAUGAAUCCAAUUGCAAUAAUCUUUUGAGAGGGCCGUGGUAAUGGAGUUGAUCUGAGUGGAAGAAAAGUGAGACACUGAAGUUGAGAUAAGAAUACUAGCACAACAUUAUAUUUAGAAGCAAUAAGAUAUCCUGCUUCAGGGAAGGUCAUCCAAUAAUCAUUUGAUGGAUUGUUUUCAAAAUAUGAAAGUGACUGUAGAAUCUCAUCAGAUCUACCUGCAUACUUAAAUAUUUGGGUAUAGUCAUCAAAGUGGCUUUUUAAUUCAUCAAUAAAGUCCCUCCUCACUUGAAUCCAAUUAUCCUCACCCAAACCAAUUAAAUCAGCCACAACACGAAAGCCACAAUUACCAUCUGCAGCAACAUCUUUAACAUGAUGUAUAUAUGGCCGCAAUCCUUGUGGAAAUGAAUCAAUGAAAGAAGAAUGCUUAGGAAGUUGAGACUGAUGCACCUUUUUUCUUUGUCGUAGUUUAGAUUGUACAAAAAUCUUACUUGAAGAUAAAUGUGGAGAAUGACUAUUCAGUGCAGAUAAUACAUGUUCAAAUUUGGAUGGAUCUCGACGAGUAGAAUUAUCUGCCUUUGAAGAAGGUCGGCCUCGUGUUCUUGCUUUAGCUUCUGGCUCAAUAAGAUAAGUUGAUGCUGGAUUUGCUAGUUCUUUUAACUUCUUCAAAAUCUGUAACUUUCCAGUGUAAUCAUUAUUAUUAUAACGCUUCAAAAUCAUCUCCAUCUCAGUUGAACAACUUAAAUCUGUAGUUUCAGCUUUGGUAGUAGGUAAUAAGUUUAGUUUCUUCCAAUGUAGAUGUAUAGAAGACAAAGGAAUAGGUCUUCCUUCACGCUUAUACCUUGCAAUCUCAUGUGCAUAUGGAAUUCCAUGAGUGCGUCGAACUACGCAUCCAUAAGCCAAUGGAUCUAGACCAAUAUAAUCAGCUUGUUUAGACUCACAAAAUAUCAUGUUGAGUGCAUUUCGUGAAACAAAUCCUCGCAAUUCCUUGAAAACUGAAGGUUUGAAAUCAUGUUGCACUGUUGUUGAACUUCUCUCUAACGAAGCUUUAAUCUCUGUAUGCUGCAAUUCUACUAAAGCAUGGAUUUUAGUCCAUAACGUCUCAAAAGUUCCUCGUGAUGAUUGUAGUUGCCUUUUUAAUGCUGAAUGAGAUGUCUCAACCCUGUUAAGAAAAUACCCAAAAAAAAGUUAUUUUUUCAAUAAUAAAAUUAAAUAUAAGAAUAUAUUUUAAUGAAUAUUUACCUGUUUGAGGUUGUAUUUCCUAAAUGCAUUAUUGAAUCAGUCCAAGCUGCAACAAAUUUUUCCUUGUACUUAUCCAGCCAUGUGUUCUUCACAUAAUCAAUAGUUUCUUGAUAUCUAACAAAUUCACUCUCCAAAAGUCUUAGGUGUUGCAUAUAAUGGUCUUUUGUGGCAGAUAGUACUAAUAUAUUCCAACUAGUAAUGAAAGAUUCCCAUACCUCAUUAGUCUCAAAUAACUUCUUACAAUUAGCUAAAAUAUUUUUUGAGAUAUGCCAUCUACACAGAAGAUGAGUUGCAGUUGGGAAAAUAUUUUGAAUAGCAUUCAUUAGUGCUACCUCUCUAUCUGUCACAAUUACACUCGGUAACAUAUUAUUAUCCAUAAAACCUUUCAAUUUAUCUAGUGCCCAACUGUAGUUAUCCUCCCGCUCGCGUUCAAUAUAUGCAAAACAUACUGAAAAUGUCAUCUCAGUCGAGGUGACACCAACCAGCUCUAGUAAUGGAAAAGCAUACAUGUUGGUCUUGUAUGUGCAAUCCAUAAUUAACACAUGUGGAAAUGCCCGUAAUAGGUCAAUUGCAAAAGGAUGAGCCCAAAAUAAGUCCUUAACAUUGUCUGUAUCAGCAUCACUUCGAUACCACUCAAUGUAGUUAUGCUCAGUCAAUUUGCUCAUGAGUAGUUGCAUCUUUGACCUACCGGCUAGUUCUUUAACCUUGUAUCUAUGUCUUGCAUUGUAAAUAGACCUCAUAGUAGUAGCAUUAUAUAUAUCUCUUUGUUUUAUCGUAUAUAGUAUAUCCUUUGGCCUUGCAUUACUUUUUGACAUAUCAAUCAAUAAGUUGUUUUCUUUUUCAGUAAGUCUACCUGCAUAUGAGUGCCCCUCAAGAUGUUUUGCUGCAGGAUGGUUAUGUUAUGCACAUAUCACUUUCAAAACCCAACAAUUGUCAUUUGCCAAAUAUUGCCCUUUUAAUCUGAAUGGACAAUUGCAUUUUUUUGUUCCGGUUGCCUUAGGACAUUUUGGCCUUUGACCUUCACUAGAAACACACUUGUAAGCACCACUUCUUUCACAAGCGAAAAUUAUUCUUGGAUUUCUACCAUGUGCACUUACAUCUGACUUUUUUAUUAUAAUGACAUAUCCAUUUCUCUUGCCAGCAUUUCGUGUCCACUCAAUUAAUUCUUCCAUGCUAUUCAAAACCUAAUCAAAACAAAAUUAUAAUAUAUCCAAUUAGAAAGCUUUGAAUAAUAUUAAUUAAUAAUAAAAAAUUAAAAAGUGAAAGUUAGCUAUCUACCUUGUCAGUGCUGAAAACACAAGCACAAUCAUCUACAAUGUUCGAUUCUCUUGUGACAUUGUUUCCAUGAUUAAUAGACUUUUCAUCCUAAAAUUUGUUAGAAAUAUAAAAUUAUUAGGGUGUUGAAAAUAAAUAGAGUACAAAAAUUAAAGGGAAAAAAACUUUAAACUUACUUCUUCAUCCGCUAGUGAGUACUGCAACUAAUUUCUUCCAUAGUUACAAAAGCAGGGAGUAUAUAAUAUAUGAAAAGAGAUAAUUUAAAAAGUUAGAUUCUAGGGUUUUAUACAAAUUUUAAACGAACUCGCUUUUCCCUUUACUAGAAGAAGAAGACAAUCAACCAUGGUCACUCGGUAGAACUCUCACUCCAAGACUUACAGGUUCAGUUGUCGUGCUUGUUGGGUUUAUGGGAUCAUGCAAUAAUCAGGUAAUAAAGGCUCAUUUGCUACAAACAAUACUUCCGUAGCAAUGACAAGGAGAUUGGUUUAUUAAAUGCCACUAAACCAAUAAUCAGGCAAUAUAAGGACCAUUCUUAUGACUUUUUGUUUCAUCUAUGAUGCUUGUAGGGAAUCUCUAUUUCUUAAGGAUUGUUCUAAGAGGAUUUGACUGAACGUUUAACAAAGCAAUUGUUGGCUAAGAAUAUUAUUGAUCAUUAUAAUUAGGGUUUAAUCAAUUCUCACCAAAAAAAUUAAAAAGUUAAAGGAAAUUAGGGUUUAAAAAAUUAGACUAAUUUUAUUAAUUAUUAAUAAAAAUUAUUAUGUGGGUGUACUUAAAAUAUAUUUAUCCUUUUAAGUCAUUUCAUAUAAGGAUAAAAUAAGUAUUAAUAUAAAAAUAAUUAGUGGGGGUUGGUGAGAUAUAAUGAGGGGGUCAAAUAUCACCACUCAUGUGAGAAUUUAAGUAUAAUUAAGUAUUAGGGGCUUGAAUAUAAAAGAUUUAUGGGCUUGAAUAUAAAAGAUUUUGGCAAAUCAAAUUAGUUAGUAAAAGAUUUUUUUUUUUUUUUCAGUGGGGACUUAAGUCCCCACUGGUCCCAAGCUAGAUCCGCCACUGUAUGCUCGGCUUUACAUUCCAAACCAAAGACAAAACCAAAACCAAAACCAAAAACUUCCCCUUCUUGUUUAUUUUCAUGGCGGAGGCUUUUGCAUCGAAACCGCCUUUUCUCCCACUUACCACAAUUACCUCAACACCUUAGUCUCUGAAGCUAACGUCAUCGCAGUCUCGGUUGAUUAUCGGAGAGCCCCGGAGAAUCCUGUCCCUUGCGCUCAUGAUGAUUCAUGGACUGCACUCAAGUGGGUUGCUUCCCAUGUUAACGGAGAAGGCCCUGAAGAUUGGCUCAACUAUUUCGCUGAUUUCCAGCGAGUGUUUUUUUCUGGUGACAGUGCUGGCGCUAACAUAGCUCAUCACAUGGGCAUGAGACAUGGUCGAGAAAUUCUCGAUGGUGUUAAUGUUAUUGGCAUUGUUUUAAUUCAUCCGUAUUUUCUGGGCAGAGAAGCUGUUGGUAAUGAAACAGCUGACGCUAAGAAAAGAGACUGGGUCGCGAGAUUGUGGAGAUUGACUUGUCCAAGUAGCACAAGUGGGUGCGAUGAUCCGUGGAUUAAUCCUGCCGUUGCGGGUUCGGACCUAGCGAGCCUGGGAUGCGCCAGGAUGCAGGUAUUUGUUGCGGAGAAUGAUUUUCUGAGAUCUAGAGGAUGGUUUUAUUAUGACAAGUUGAAGGAGAGCGGGUGUAGGGGCAAUGUGGAGAUUGUUGAGUCCAAAGGAGAGCAACAUGUGUUCCAUUUGAUAAAUCCCACAUGUGAAAAUGCUGUGGCCAUGCUUGAGAGAACUGCUUCUUUCUUGAAUCAUCAGGAGAAGGCCUGAAUUCAUGUGCCUCUAACUAUAUUUAUAAUUGUCAAUUUCCUUUUUUUUUUUUUUUCUGUCAGCUGCUAUUUUUACGGGUAUAUAUAUAUAUAUAUAUAUGGGUUCCUCUAUGAUGCUGUAAAAAAUUUACAGCAUCAAUAAUGUAUUAAUUGUAAAUCAUUAGAUUUAAUCAAUGGUGUAUAAUAUUUGUACUAAAAAAAUAAUUUAAAAAUAAUAGUAAACAGUUUGUUAACGUUCAAGUGGGUGGAGAAUUUUUGUAAAAUAAUUGUGACCACCCUUAGAGUUUGAAAUAAUUUCACUUAAAUAGCAUAUUUUAUUUAAAAUUAUUUUUCAGCCCUCCUUUAAAUUUGUAAUAUGAUAAUCUUUUUUAAAUAAAUCUUCCAAAAUCAACUAUCAUUAAGUAUAAAAUAUAAUAUCAAGUAGGUUAUUUAACACAAAGUCUUAUAAUAAUUUGUAUUGUAUGAAUUUAAUUACAAACCAUUAAUACCUAAACAAUAAUGAUAAUAGAAGGCAUUUCAAUAAACUAUUUUAUAUGUGUUUUAUUAAUAAUACUAUAUGAGUCACAACAAAUGAGAAAUAUUUUAUUCACCAAUUAUUAUUGAAAAAUAUAUAUGUCUAUAUAACUAUAGAGUGAGAAAUAUUUUGAUUUAAAUUUUUAACAAAAGAUUAAACUAUUUAUUUCAUGCAAUUCAAUGGUAGAGGAUAUAACAUUAUGAAAUGUUGCUUUGACUUUCAAUAUCAACCAUUAGAUUAUGAUAUAUUAGUGGCUCAAAUAUUGUGUCAAAAUUUUAAGUUAAAGUAUCCCAAAUUAUAUCGUUAUAAUGGAAAUAUAAAAACAUGCAAUCAUUUUUUUCCUCAUUUUGUCCAUUAAAUAUUAUUUGAUGUGAUAUUUUAUUUAUUGUCACUAUUAAUUAUCAUAAUAAAAGUAAUGACUCUUUGUAACAUAAAAAUUUUAUAAUUACUAUAAAAGAAUAACAAUAAAAUAAUCUUUCAUGAUUCAUAAACUAAAAUUAAUUAGGAAUAUGUGUUAGAUUUAACUUUUAUGAAAUUAACAAAGUGACAUUUGAAAAUAAAAUGAAAACAAGCUUGUGAAAGUUAAAUUUUAUAAGGCUCAGAUAAUUUUCUACCAUGUCAAUAAAAAUUUAAAAAUAUAAAUGAUUUUAUUUCACUUUUUUCCCACGUAAAUAUUAUCGGAGGCAAUAUUUUAUUUAUUGUCACUAUUAACUAUCAUAACAAAAGUAAUGACUCUUCAUAACAUAAAAUUUUAUAAUUACAAUCCAAGGAUAUCAAUAAAAUAAUCUUUCAUGAUUCAUAAACUAAAACUCAUUAGGAAUAUAUAUUCGAUUUAACUUUUAUGAAAUUAACAAAGUGAUAUUUGAAAAUAAAAUGAAAAUAUAUAAGCUUAUAAAACUUAAAACUCCCACCAUGUAAGGAUAUUAACUGUAAGAUAAAUAUAAAGUACAUAAAAUAAAUUUGUUAAAUGGGUGUUAAAAAUGAUACAUACUUCAUGAUCAAUUAUACAAUGGCCCUUAAUAUUAUAUAAAAUAAUGAGUAUUUUAAUAUACAAUAUUAAAUUUUAUUAAAACAUGUGUGAUCAAGUAAUUUUUAUGUUACAAGCAAUCUCAACAAUGAGUUUAUUGAUGUAUCUAUGACAUUUACUUAACUAUAUGUACUUGUUGUGUUAUUUAUUAGUGUUAUAUCAUAUAUAAAUUUUUCAAUUGCAACUUAUUUAUUUGAUUUGUGUUAAAUAACCUACCAUUAUAUUUUAUACUUAAUGAUAAUAGAUUUUGGAAGAUUUAUUUAAAAAAGAUUAUCACAUUUCAAAUUUAAAGGGGGAUUGAAAAAUAAUUUUAAAUAAAAUGUGAUAUUUAAGUGAAAUUGUUUCAAACUCUAAGGGUGGUCAUAGUUAUUUCACAAACUUCUCCACCCCUUACACGUUUGUUAACCGUUUACCAUUAUUUUUUAUUUUUAUUUUUACCUACAAAUAUUGUGUACCAUUGAUUAAAUCCAAUGGUACACAAUUAAAAACAUUAUUGAUGCUGUAAAAAAAUUACAACAUCAUAGAGGAACCCUAUAUAUAUAUAUAUAUAUAUAUAUUUACCAACUUCAACCGUUCAAAGGAAAUUUAUUAAUUAAAAAAAGUAUGACAAUUCUCAGAAAAUCAAUUGAACACAGAAAUUAAUAUUGGGUUGGACUAUUGCCAUCCCUCGAAUGCCCUCGUACAACCACUUUUAAGAAUAAUCUCUAUUUAAUUCCACAAAUAACCUUCCAAUUAUUUUUCCCAAGAAAACUUCAGUGAACCUCAUCUCUCUCUACGAAACUCUUCUAAACUCAAUGGUAUUUUCUUUCAUUUUAAAUUUAUAAUGAUUGCGCUUGUUCAACACCGCAAGUUCAGAGCUUGAACUUAUCCAAUUCAGUUUUGGAGAGAUUUCUUUUCACACCACUAAAUCCAUAUUUUUAUUCUUUGAACAAGAAUGAGACAUUUUUUUCUUUUUCUUUUUUAUCACAAACAAUUGUAUACUUUUAGAGUCAUUUUUCUUUUACAUUAGUCUUUGUCUUUUAUUUAAAAUUGUUCUUUUGAAGAAUUCGUUUGAUGAUAGAUAAUGAAUGGUUUGUAACUGAAAUUCUAUAUAUGGGUCAUAAACAACAAAUCUGAUUGCUGCCAAUAUUCUUGAAGAAGAUGGGUGCAUUUAAUUAAAUUUUUUAUAAAAUAACUCAAAUGAAAGGUUUGAUAAGAUUUUUAAAGGGGUGCCAAUAGCUCCAUUGCUUAUUUUUAUAAAAGGGUGUCUGUACUAGGAAGGAUAUUGUUUGGGGAAGACAUUGAAGAUCAAUAAUGUGGCGCUGUGUGUUGAUGAAAAAUUUUAUGAUUAAAAAUAAUCACAGAGGGUACCUAACUUACACUGGGUACACUUGAUAAUUGAGCUGGUACGUGGAGUAUUCCAUACUAGAAGUAAGAUGGUAAAGAAAAGUCUCUAAAAUAUCAACCGUGAGAAAUACCUCCAUCACCCUAAGAGAAUAUUUGAUUUGACAAGAUCAAAUAGGAAAUAUCUUGCUAGAAAAGAAGGGGCAGCUUGCUGUCACACCUAUAAAAAGCAAAAGGAAACACACCAAGACAGUGGUCCUUAGCUGCCACGCAUAGAAGCUGUCAAGACAACCUUUGUAGAGGUGUCCUAGACUACUCUGCAACGCACAACACGUGUACAAGAAAACAAACCAUACCAAAUGAUGUCCUUAUUGCUCCUCAAGCAUGCUACUAAUGGCUCAAAAUCAUGAUACUGGUGAAAGGAUAAAAUAAACUUGAAAAUGACAGCAAAUCACCACUGUAAUAUAUGCCACGUGGUAGGGUAGUCAAGGUGCUCUAUAUAGAAAGACACUAAAGUUUUAUUUUGCUCAGAUAUACAACAAACACACACAUAAAAGACUAAGGUUUUCUCUAACCUCCAGCAAUCAUUAAAGAGAGCUUACAAGCUCUCAAACGCUAGAUAACCCAACUCUGACUUAAGCAUCGAACCAUGGUCACUGGCCACUUCCGGCUUCACCUAUGAUAUCCUUUUUAUUGUUUUGCUAGUUUAAGGUGUCCUUUCAAGCUCUUUCAGUCCAGAUUUGGACCUCUCACCAUUAUCAUUGUCUUCUCACUCUUCUUCAUUUUUUUAAAAUGCACAAAACAACGCACAAAUUGCAACUAAGUGAGGUACCUUAUAUCCUGAAAAUAAAUUUAUUAUUUUAGUUAGGUUUUCCUUUUUUCUUUUGCACCCAAAAUCUACCUGAAACAAUCAUCUUCAUCUUUAUCAAGACUAAACAUCUCUAUAUAGCUAUCUAGCUUAUUUUAUUCAUCUUUUAUAAUGUAGAAUCUUAUAUAACAUUUCAUUUAUAUAACGAAUUGGUGAUUACUUGCUCCUAUAGACGUAGGCUAAAUGGCAAACCACGUAAACAUUGUGUGUUAUAAUGGAUUGAUGAUUACUUACUCCCGUGGACGUAGGUCAAAGGCUAAACCACGUAAACAAUGUGUGUUCAUUGCCUCUAUGUUUAUUUUGCUAUAUUUUCAAUUUACAGAAUUACAGUUGUAAUUAUGUUCAUGUGUAAGCAUACUUGACGUACCCCACUUACACUAAGUAUUUGGUGAGACACUUGAGCUAUCACUCGAGUAUACUUGAGCUACCCUAACUACGCUAAGUAUUUGGUGGGACACUUGAGUUACUCCCUAAAUUAACUCCUAUAUAUUAUUUUGGCUCACCACCUAGGGUACCUUAGUUAAACCACCUAUCACAAAUAUCAGAAAAAAACAUCUAAGUCCAAACUUAGCACAAGCUCCCUCAAAUGUAAAUUUAUUUAUUUGAGACAGAUUUGAUCUGGUAACUAGUACGAAUCAGAUCCUAAUGAAAAUUUGGUGAAAACGGGUAUUAUCAAUAAUCUGCCCUACUAACAACUAACUAUUUAUUAAGAUAACAUUUAUUCUUUUUAUUUGAAAUUUAAAUUAGUUUAACUGAAGUUUAAACAAAUCUAAAUCCAUUUGUCUGUUUUCAUUUUUUGAUGCCUAAGUAUAUAAGUGGUAAGUUGUUUGCUUUUAUAAACUCAAAAUAUCUUAAAUCUAGUAUUUUAUACUUAUAUCCUUAGAUGUAUUAUACAUUUGGAAGUUUAAAUAGGUAUAUGUUUACCGGGUUAUUUAGUAUAGUAAUAUUUAUAUGUUAUGAAUAAUUAUAAGCUAAGCAUUUGAUAUACAGAAGAAAUAAACUAUGAAAAAAUAAUUUUGAUAACAAUAGUUUUUACAACUUACAGAAUAUUUCCACAUAAAAAAUUGCUAUCUAAUAAUAAAAGAAUAGUGUAAAAUUCAAAUUGAAUGUAUGUUAGGUAUUUAAUAGCAAAUAAAAGUUUAGAUCAAGAGAAGUUUUAAUGUAGGAUAAGAAACUUAAGACUCUAAAUUUGAGUUGUCCUCGGAUGUACACCUGCUUAUGGCACCUCGGAAUUAUAGACUUACUAUGGUAAAAGACUUAGACCCAACGUAUUCGUUGGAGUCGUGGGAGCAAAGCAAGGCUUGCUAGAUAGAAAAUAUGAAAUAUUCUGAAAAAAACCUUCGUCUGCUAGUUUUUUUAGUGUAUCCAUGAUUAAUUCUUCUACCUUUUGAGUGUCAUCUUCAGAAACAUUCUUCAAUCCGAUACUAAAUUGAGGCUGAAGGAGUUCAUCUUCAAUCCCACCACCAACAAUGGCAUCUCCAAGACCACUUUCUAGUAAAAUUUUCCUCAAGGGAGAAGCAGGAGUUCCCAGCAUAAGAUGAUCCAAGAACCCAAGGGCAAGUUCCGUUUCCAAGUCUAAGGGCUUAUCUGAGAGCAACCAAUUAAGGCAUACCAUGUUCUUCUUCUUAAUAUCACCAGCAUCACCAGCAGGGUAUUUCUCAAUAAUCCUGAUUGGUUCUGAAAAUAGUUUCUGUUUUUCAACUAUUGAUUCAUUUGGGGCUGAACUUGCUUCAAACAUAUUCAAAUACUCUGUGACAGAGAAAGUGCAAUUAAGAUGCUAGUGUACAGAACAACUUGAAUUAAGACCUUAUCAUUCAACUUACUAUCAGAAUGGCAACAUUUUGACAUGCAUGUGCACAAGAAAAUGUUGGAUAUGCAUAGACAAGUGAAUAUUGGAUAUGCAUUGGAUUUUGGACCAAAUAUAAUUAAAAAGUUGCAAAUCAUACUGGAUAUGAAAACUUCCAGUUUUGGUUAUAUAUUGGUCUUUUGACUGAAAAUAGUAAAAUACUGCAUAUACCAAGUAAAGAUACGAAGACAAGCUAUAAUUAUAAUGCAUCUUUGUACCGAAACUAGUUCCACUAGAGCAAACUCAAACAAAUCCAUUUUAGGAAGGAUUUUAGUUUCCAUUAUUUAAUUGCUCAACCAGGCAUAGUUUUCAAGGACCACUCAUGCAUAUGCAUCACUCUGGGACCAGCACCCAUAAGCUUCGGGGGACAACCGAAAGUGGUAAUCCAGUGAGAAAAAAGAAAAAAAAAAUUAACAAAGAGCAUGGAUACUCAAUUCAUUCUCAAUAGAGAUGUCAUUUAUUACCACUCAGGAUGCGUAAGCGUUCAUUUGGAUCAUCGUCUCCAUAGAACCAUAUCCUGGCAUUGCUGGGGUGGUAAUAUUUACGGUGAAAUUCCUGCCAUCAGAAAGACAGCCUGAGAAAAAUAACUAACACAACAUUUAAGUUAAAAAAUCCCCAUACCAACAUAAAUCCAAAAAAAAAAUAAAAAUCAAAAUGCAGUAAAGAAUAUACCUUAAACUCCUCAAAUGUCAGCUUUGGAAUAACUUUUGGAUCACCUCCGCUAUCUACACCAUAUGCAUUGUCGGGAAAUAAAGCCUGUGAAGAAGUUUUGUAACUCAGUUGCAAGAGCAAACAAGAUAGCUUUAUCAGAAGCAUUCAAAAAGAAUGAAUUGGAAGCAUCAAUAAAUGAUCCAUAUGGGUAUGCAAUCAUAAGAUUCAGGCACUUUGUCAGUGAAACUUCGGAGGAAUAAACUAUGAACCAGUUUUCCAUUGUUUCCUGAUUGUAAGGAAUCUGAAAAGAUAUACAGUCAGACGAAUGGAGAACUUGCCUGUUGAGCAGCCCGCCCUAAUAUAUUAUCAGGCUGCGAAUAGACACCUUUCAUCUCAUUGAAAACAACACCUUCAAUUAAGAACAAAAAAAGGAAGGUCAAAGAACUUAGUUGCAAGUUGGAUGAAUCAUCACCAGGGAAAACCAAAUAACAGCAGAAGUUUAAUAUAUAUAUAUAUAGAGAGAGAGAGAGAGGGAGAGAGAGAGAGAGAGAGAACAAAUAUCUGCAGAUAUCAAACCUUUAUAAGUUAUAUCCUCUGAAGGAUUAUCCAGCUUAAAAUGCCAACCCUCCUGUUGAAAAGUCUGGAAGUCCUCCACACACUUUGGGAAAAAGACAGCAUCGAAGUAGACAUCGACCAAAUUAUAAAAAUCCUGUUUAGGAAAACAUCUUAGCGGAAGUAAAAUCCAAAAAAGAUGUAAGAGUUUCCAAGCUUAGGUUCCCCUUCCUCAUAACUCCAACUCAUUUUCUUACCUUUGUAUUCGUAGAAGCAACUGGGUAACAUGUUCUAUCAGGAUAUGUGAAUGCAUUCAGAAAAGUAUUCAAGCUUCCUUUCAACAAUUCAACGAAUGGUUCUUUCAAAGGAUACUUUCUUGAACCACACAACACACUGUGUUCCAAUAUGUGUGGAAUCCCAGUUGAAUCCUUCCUGCAUUAUCAAAUAGGUAAGGCAUAAUGAUAAGACCUUUUGCAACCCAAAAACGUGUCUCGUUGUCCAGAAAACUAUAACUGCCUGAAAAUUAUUUUCUUGUAUUCUUAGCAUUUCAAUGAUAAUAUCUAACAAUGUAUCUGAUUUAAAUUAAUAUAAUCAAAUAAAAUGAAAAGAGAAAAUAAAAAGACGAUAUCAAACGGUGAUAUCGCUGUCGCCGCGGAGGAGGGAGCGCCUGGUGAGGUUGUUGAUCAGACGGUGGUGAUUCCUCCUCGCAACAGCAACUGAUGAUGAUGAAAAUUUGGCGCGAGGUACGAAAGAGCGAAAGUAGAAUCUGUUGGAAGCGAGGGAAGUACAAGAGAGAGAACGAAGCAACGCGGCUCGCUCCAUUGUUAGAAGAAGGAUAGGUACUACAGAGAGAGAGCCUAAAAUGGGUAGCUUAUCCUUUUAAUAUCAAUGGUCAUGGCUAUGAAGCUUGGUUAAACGAUCAUGCUGAUUUUGCUCGUGUUUUUCUCGCCGGUGACAGUGCUGGUGGCAAUAUUGUGCACAACAUGGUCGUUCAAGCGAGUUUUGAAGACUUAAAUGGGAUAAAACUGGCAGGAAUUUGCUUGGUUCAGCCAUAUUUUGGGAGAAAUGAUGAAGUUGUUGAUAAGUGUUGGGUAUUUGUAUGUCCAAAUACAAGUGGGUACAAUGAUGUGAGAAUAAACCCAGCUGCUGACUCUAGGCUAAUGAGCCUGAGGUGUCCCAGGGUUCUCGUUUGUGUUGCCGAGAAGGAUAAUUUGAGAGAUAGGGGAUUGCUUUAUUAUGAGACUUUGAAAAAUUGUGGUUUGGGCUGGAGAAAUUGAGAUUGUGGAGACAGAAGGAGAGGAUCAUGUGUUUCACUUGUUCAAUCCAGAUUCUGAAAAGGCUGUGGCCUUGAUGGAUAAAUUAGCUUCAUUCCUAAAUUAAGAUAAUGUUUUCUGAUGCGAUCACCAGGAACUUAGUAAUGUGCGUACUCUUGAUUUAAUGUUGUUCAGCAUCAUAUUUCUCUUUGGUUUCACAUUAUGGACAUCAUUUCUUUUACCAGCAAUUUCAUAUAUGUAUUAAUGUCUAUAUAAGAACAUUCAAAUACCCCAUUGAUGUGUGUAUAAUUUACAAGUGAUAUUGUGCACCUUACCAUAAGAACAAUAAGGAAAGAAAAUGAAUAGAGUUUAAUUGUAGGAGCCAUUGUUACUGUUGGAUCCAAUUCAAUGUGAUUAUCAAAUCAAGAAGAGAUCAAGAAAGAAUUCAGGAUCUAAAUCUAAAGAUUAAUCAAUGAGAUCAUAGGGACAUGCAAAAUCAAAUCAAGAACAUCACAAGAGCAAUUUAUGUGGCUUGACAAGCUUGCUUAUAUCUGCAAGAGAAAACAAACCACGGCAAGCAUCAUUAACAGAUGCCGAUUAAAAGAUUACACUCAGCACUCUGCAAAGAACAAAUCCCAUGUUUACAAUCUUGGCUAACUCUCUCUAAGUUGCAAGAAAAUUUCUCAGAAACAACUGUUUCAAUUCUGUUCAGUUGGUAACCACACUAAGCUGCUAGCUCAUCUGUGCCCUGUCAGCAGCCUAGUAAUAUCAUUGACGCGUAUAUGAGACCUAACUUGAGCAAGAUCUUUGUUGGCUGUUGCUAGUAAUAUUUUAUUAGAAAGGCUAAUUCAGGCUUGCCGGCGCUCUGCCGACAUUUUCUGCUUCAAUGGGUUCCACAGAGCCAUUAUCAGAAAUCGCCCACGAUUUCUCUCCUAUGAUGAUAAUACACAAAGAUGGCACAAUAGAGAGGCUUGUGGGCAAUGACAUCGUUCCUCCAUCAUUUGAUCCAAAAACAAACGUUGAUUCCAGAGACGUUUUGUAUUUACCUGAAAAUACUCUAUCCGCUCGUCUUUACAUUCCGAAAAACACAAAAGAUCAAAACCAAAAACUUCUUCUUGUGGUUUAUUUUCACGGUGGAGGCUUCUGCGUCCACACUGCCUUUUCUUCUACUUACAAUAAUUACCUCAACAACUUAGUUUCUGAAGCUAACAUCAUAGCAGUCUCGGUUGAUUAUCGGAGAGCCCCGAAGAAUCCGGUCCCCUGUGCUCACGACGAUUCAUGGACUGCAAUCAAAUGGGUUGCUUCCCAUGUUGAUGGGGAUGGCCCGGAAGAUUGGCUUAACCAUUAUGCUGACUUUCAGAGAGUGUUUUUCGCUGGUGACAGUUCUGGCGCUAAUAUAGCUCACCACAUGGGAGUAAGACAUUGUCAAGAAAUUCUCGACGAUUGGGAUUGUUUUAACUCAUCCAUCCUUCUGGGGCAAGGAUCCUAUUCCUGACUAGACAACUGGUGUUAAAACAAGAGAAUGGCGUGAGGCAAUGUGGCAAUUUGUUUAUCCUAGCAUGAUUGACUGCAAUGAUCCAUUGAUUAAUCCAGCAGUUGGUUCGAACCUAACGAGCCAGCAGGGAUGCGCCAGAAUGCUGGUUUUUGUUGCGGAGGAGGAUAUGCUAAGAUAUAGGGGAUGGUUUUAUUGUAAGAAGUUGAAGGAGAGUGGGUGGAAAGGCGAUGUGGAGAUUGUUGAGUCUCAAGAAGAGUUGCAUGCGUUCCAUUUGCGCAAUCCAUAUUGCGAAAAUGCUGUGUCUAUGCUUAAGAUAACUGCUGCUUUCUUUAGCCACGACAAUGCUUGAAUUCGAAUUUAUAUGGGUUGUUUUCGCCUCUUGUACUCUCGCUCCAAUCUCAAAGCUUAUCUUUACUUUGAAUUACAGAAACUAAUCAUCUCGAAUCGAUUUGUACAAAUUUUUAUUAUGAAUUUGAAAAAAUAUGUAUACCUGGUAUUAUAAUUUAUAAGAGAAAUAUAGUUUAACUAGGUGUUUGAUGAAAGUAACUAAAUGUUUGAUGAAAUGCCUCAAAAAAGACAUUUGGCUGCAACUACGGAAUUUUGAAUAUUACAAGCAGUCCUUUUGUAACACAUGUUCUUGCGCCUUUAGAGUACUACCCAAUAAAAAGCCACACAUGGCUUGACAGUUUGAAUCAUUUUGCAUACCAAGAGCGAAACAGAAGAGAAAAGCAAAUAGAUCUGAGAAUGCAAAUGUUAGUAAAGAGAGAGAGAUCUAGAAGGAAAUUAAGGAUGCGUUUGAUAUUGUUUUUCACCAAUCAAUUUUUCAUUGUACAAAAACAUAAAAGAAUGCAAAAUGGUGUUGGCUUGAGAACAUAUUUUGUGUGUGUGUGUGUGUAUAUAUAGAUAUAUAAUCAUUCUGCGGGCGCCCUAAUACGGAUAUGUUCUUAAAUCAUGUGGUUUUAUAAACUUAUUUAUGAAUGAAUUAUAAAACCAUGCAGUUUAAGAGUUGAGAUCUUAACUCUAGUAAAUCCUAUGGUUUAAAAGUGUGUUCGCAUGAAAAAAAAAAAUUAGGAUGACACCUGCAUUAUAGAAUGAGUAUAUAUAUAUAAAGUAAACUAUCUCUUUGUAAAUUGACUAUCCUUAAAUUAUUAUUUUAUUAUUUACAAUCUUAAGUUAACCUAUUUUAUUCAAAAUGUAAGAGAAUAAUGAGGUUGAGUUGAUGAUUUUUUUUUUUUUUUUGGUCUUCUUAACAAAAUAUAAGAUAAACUAAGGUUUUUAAAAAUAAUGGGAGAUUUGAAGAUAGUAAAUUAAUGAGGAGAUAAUCUGCAAUUAUCCCUAAAAAGGAAAAAAGUAACGGUUGAUUCCUCGCUUCAUAAACUAGGAGUAUCGUUAAAGAUGCCAAUUGGGUUGGGUUCUUUUACCUUGUUCUAGGCAAGCAUUUGCUUAUUUUUCAAAUUCAUUAUAUUCUAUUUGUUCACAAUGUUUUGUCGAUAUGUAAAUCUGUUGAGCAAUAGUUUGAAAAGUUAUCCUCACAAUUAUUAGGGAGAAAUCUAGGAAAAUUUAUAACAAUAUCCCAAAAAAUUCCGGAUUUUUUAAAAUUAACCCCACAAAAUUAUAUUUAUCAUAAUUAGCCAAACAAUAUCCUUUUGGACUAAAACUCCCCCUACAUUUCACGAUCCCUAUUCCCUUUGUUCUCUACCUUAACAAACCAAAACUUAGUUUCACAACAUUAUCAUUGUCGGUGAUGGUGACGAAGUACGGGGAAGGAAUACAUCAUUGGUGAUGGAAUAGAGCAUGUCUACGGCAACAGUGAUGGGAAAACCAAAUCCGAACACGUCCAAACAAAUCCAAACACUGCUUCAUCAUUAUUCAUUUUUUAGUGAUAUUAAUGAGCUCGAAUGGAAUUGUAGGUGAACUGAACUCAACCUAAACACACUCAGUUUAAUUCUGAAGGCAUCCAUUCACAUUUAUAGUGUCUUGGAUUUGGAGACUCCUCUAAUCCAAAUCUAGAUUGAGUUACUUUUCGUUUUGGAGUGACAUCAAACGCAUCUCAGUAUCUUACACUCCUUUUUCAUCAAAGCAUAAUCUUAGAAAACCCGCAAAAUUUCCACGAUGAAAAAUCACUAUUGGCUGACCAACAUGACCACAGCACAAAUUAUUUAGGGGCUAUUAGUAUUGUUUCCAAAUUUGUAUUUUAUGAAAACAAAAAUGAGAAUGAAGAUAGUGUUUUGCAGUUGCUGUAUUUCGAAUUUUAGUACACAUCUAGUAUAAUUUUUUCUGCAUCAUGUAUUUUAAAACUACAAACAGUAAUAUGCAUUUGGUAGACACAAUUGAAAAUGAUAAAAACAAUGAAUAAGUAUUCGGUAGUACCAUUUUAAAAAAUAUUUUUUAUAAAAUAUUUAAGUCAUACAUGUAGUUAGAAAAUAAUUAUUCAACUAAUAUAUACCCAAACAUACCAUAAAUAAUUUAAAUAAAAAUAAUUAUAAAAAAUUACAUGAUGAUAAAUUUUUAAUAUUAGCAUUAAUAAAAAAAGUUUUAUAUUAUCAUUGUUUUACACUAUAAUUAAGAUAUAUAUUAUAACACAUAUGAUUUAAACAAAAUAAUUAUAAAAAUUAGAUGAUAGGCAUCAUGCAUUACGUGUGUAAUCAUGCCGCAUAAAAUGCAAUUUUAUCUUUUGUAGCAUUCAUCUCUACAACACUUAAUAGUAGUAAGUGGCCUUCUAAUAUCUCCUUCAUUUGUAACCAUAUCUUAUACAUCAAAGUCCUCAAACAACCUGUCACUGACAUUUUUUUGUUGAAUAAAAUUAUGUAAAACGCAACAUGAAAUUGGAAUUAGACGUUGCUUACGUAAACUAUAAUUAUGUUCACCAAUCAACAUCAUGUGGAUCCAUAUCGUGUUACUAAAAAAAUUUAAAAAAAUCACAUAUAUCAAAUAUUAAUUAAAUUAAAGAAACUGCUCCUACACAUACAUAGCUCAGACUUUUGGAGUUAAUCAAAUUCAACAUAGCAUGAAAGUCAUUUUAGUAAUGUGUCAUAGAUUAAAAUUUGAACAUAUCAAAAUAAAAUGUAUUCUACUACAAAUUGAUCAAUUCAAAUUAAGACCAAGCUCUUGUCAAAAGUUUUUAUCUUUAACUCAUUUUUUCACAGCACAACAAAAAUUUAAGAAAAAUGAAAUCAAGGUAAUGUACACUAAACCAAUCGCAUCUAAAUGAAUACAACAUGAUAUUAUUACAAUCAGUUCACGCUAAUCUCUACAAUUUUUGCAUUAAUAUGCUUUUGGUCCCUAAUAAAUAAAUGAAAUGACAAUGGAAUUAGACAAGAACAACCAUUACUGUCAAUAACUCACAACACCCACAUGCUUUGCUGUGAAACUCCGCUAGCUCAAAAUGGUAAAUAAUAUGCCUUUGCAUGAUUUUCCAACACAAAAAGACAACCAAUUCCAAAUAAGAACAACAAAAUCAUAUUUACAAAAUAAAUAUUUAAUCGGUCCCUAUUUUAUGGUCCAACUCCUAGAAUAGAAUUGAUGAAAUCUUGGCUAGCAAUACAAUCACCUUAGAGAUGGCCAAAAACCCCGACUUGAAUUUUGGUCCAAUUGAUCCAGCUCGAUUUUUUUGGGUUUUGACCCGAAGUUAAGGGUCAAAAUUCGAGCUUAGGCUUAAAAAUAAAAGCCCGAUCAAAAGCCUGAACUCUGACUCGACUCUACCCGAUUACUCAAUAAUUAGCCGACCCAACCCGACUCGACCCGAUUACUUAAUAGUAAAAAAAAAGUGUGUUUUAAUUUGAAUUGUGUGACUUUAUUUGAAUUAGACAUGAUUUUUUUUUUAUGUUUAGUUAUUUAUAUGAUUUUAUGGUUGAGAUAUUGAUUGGAGUAAUUUUUAUAUUUAAUUUGAAUAUAUUAGGGGAGGUAAAUUUAAAAUAUUUAAAUAUUAAAAAAAUAUUAUGGUUGGUCUCCGAAAGUGAAAAUUCAAGUUUUUUAUCGGGUUCGGGUCCUUUAUUUAUAUUGUCGGGUCAGGCUCGGACUUUAUUAUCCACAAUUUUUAUUUCAUGAUCAUGAUCACAAAACAAAAUAGUAUGAUAAUAAUAGUAAAAAUUUACUCAAAUACAAAAAAGGGUAAUUAUCCACCGUCCACCUAUUUUUUCACACUUUUUUAAAAAUAUACAAUUCUUAAUUUUUUUUUACUGAGCUCCACUUGAAGUUAUAAUUUUUUGCAUAUGUCCACUGUUGUCUUUAAACCGUUAAGAAUUUUCUGACAUCAUAAGGGUAUUAUAAUAAUUUCACCUAUGCUUCAAAAACUUAAUUUGGACAAUAUUCCGUUAGUUUUCUUAACGGUUUGAAGAUGGCAGCGGACAUAUAUAAAAAAAUAAAACUUCAAGUGGAGCUCAGCAAAAAAAAUUAAGAUUUGUGUAUUUUUGAAAAAGUAUGAAAAAAAAAAGUGGAUGGUGGAUAAGUACCCUAAAUAAAUACCAAUAACUCACAAUAGCAGAGAUGGAGUCGAGAGAGGAGCAACAACAAACGAGAUAGUCGAGAUGGAGCAGCAGCGGCGGAGACGGAGGAACAACAAUGGUUGAGGGGAAUUAGCAGCGGCAACAAAGAUGGAGUACAACAGCUGAUUUGGGCACACCGAGAGAGAAUAAUCGCCACUGUUAGUAAAUCGAGAGGGAUAAGGAGCGAGAGUCAGCACUAUUGGACAAAGAAAUAAGGAUAAAGAGAGAAGGCCGAGACUUUUAGAUUUUAUUUUUUAAUUUAUUUUUAGUUUAGUUUUGUAAUACGUGACAUGUUCUCACUUUAAUAGUUAUAAAAGUGAAUCUCAGCUUUUUUGUUUUACAAUUUUUUUUUAAAAUUUCAACCAUCAAACAUGUAUUAACUUAGAUUCAUAAAAGGAAAAUGAAAAUAGAGCCCAUAACACGUUACCGAACAGACCCUUAAAUACUCAUAUUCUUCUAUUAAUUAACGUAAAGCCCACUAUUAUUGUCAAAAGUUUUUUUCUUUUAUCCAUUAAAAGUCUGAUGGAAAAGUGUCACGAAACUCACAACUGGUCACAUAGCCAAUUACCGAAUGAAUUUCCUUAGCAAAAACGGGAGAUGCUUGGCUUUCAUGUUCUAGUCGCUAUCAUCAUCCCAAUUUUGUAAUUCAAUUCAAUUCGAUUUCUUACAGAUUUUUGCAAUAAAAAAUUUAAGGUGGCAAAGUUUGCUUCAAUGGAUAGUUAAUUGCACUAUUUUAGAAAUUAAAUUGCCAUGAUUUUAAAAUCGACAUUAUGAUUUAUAAACAUUAUAUAUAUUUAUGUCAAAUCUUUCUUAAAUAGAUAGGGAUCCUAAGUCCUACCCCGCAUGAGCUAAAUAUAACAAUUUAAAUAGUAGAUGAUAGUAUAAGUGAAAUUCAUAGACACUCAUAUUUUAAGAAUUGGUUUUUGAGAGUAAUGCCUUAUUUAAAAUUAAGGUUGGAUAGUUGUAAGUUAAAAUGUAUAAUAUUAAGUAUUUGGUAAAUACUAUUUAUUAUAACUUGAAAGUUAAGGUAAUUUAAUUUUAUAUUUGAAUAAUCAAAAAUUAUUAUAUCAUUACUAAUUUUAUUAAAAUUAUUAUUUAAAAAUUAUAUUUAUUAUAUAUUAUUAAUUUUUAUUUUAUAAUUAUUUUUUUUUUUCCUUCUAGCUAGGAACUUUUUUAAAGAAAAAGCGGGAUGUGAAGUCAUAUGAUGGACCGCGUGGAUGUCCAUUGGGAACCGUGAUACUAUUGUACAGCCGGUUUUGCGUGGCUUUGUUUCAUUUUACAAUUUUUCCGAUAAAAGCAAAGAAGUUUUAUGACAAACACGACCAAACUUGGCCCUUUUUCUGUCCCAGAAAGCACGAAAUCACCAACCAAAGAAAUAAAACUGUCAAAAUAUUUUUUUUUAAGCAAUUUUUCAUAAUGUCUUUGUACUGCUACUCUUUAUAUAAUAGUCAGAAAGUUUUAUACAAAUUUAUUUUGUACAAACUGAUAUACUAUGAUAAAAUUAAUUGAAUUAAAUAUCACUUGCCCCAUAUGAUUUAUUUUUAUUAUUUUAUAUUUUCAUUUAACUAAUGAAUUAAUGUUACGUCAAUUUGUAUAAAAUAAAUUUAUACAAGAAUUUAUAACUAUAUUAUGACUCUAAUCAUAUUGCAACAAUGGAUUCAAAAUCAAGAGCACUUGCACAUGAGUUUCUUCCAUGUUUUCGUGCAUACAGAUGGGCAUGGGGAAGGGUUCUUUGGCACCGAUAAAGUUUCAGCAUCAAUGGAUUCCCCAAAUGCUGUCUUCUCCAAUACGGACAUUGUUUCGUUAUAAGGACUUUUAACGUUAAUUAAGAACAAGACUAACGAAUGAAAGAUCAAAGAGAUGGGCAAAAUCAAUGAAAGAUUAAAGAGACAAGCAAAUUAUAUCAAAUCGAGAACAAUCUGCACGAACAAUUUAUGCGGCUUGAUAAGGUUGCUUAUAUAAGAAGAGAAAAAAAGCCUAAGCUAGCUUCAUUAAGAAGUGGCGGAUCUAAGAAUUUAGAUUUGGGCAGUGGGUUAAAAAAUUUUUAAAUCAAUUUAGAGGUUUGGUUCUUCCAAUUGUUUACUCAAACGCAUUUAAAGUCUCAAAAAUCCGGACUUUACUUUUUUUUUUUUUCAAAAUUAAAAAUUUGGCCAUAUUUAUAUGGAAUUAAUUUGCCUCUCUUUUGACUUGUGAUUCCUAAAUCACUUCAUUUAACUAGCAUAAUGGUUAAGCCAAUCCAUAAGACCUUGUCCAUUAGUAUGGGAAGCAACCCAUUUGAGUGCAGCCCAUGAAUCUUCACGAGCACAAAGGACAUGAUUCUUAGGAGCUCGUCGAUGGUCAAAGAAGACUGCAAUAACUUUAUGGUAAGUAGGAUGAAAGGCAGAAUAGAUGCAAAAGCCUCCGCCAUAUAUAUGAACCACUAGCGGAAGUUUAUGGAAUUCAAACAAUUCAUAAAAUUGGGUUAGAUGAAAUCCACAAUAAAACUCAGAACAGUUACUUCACUCUUACAAUUUUUUUUUAAUAAAUCUUUAUCUUUUUUUUUGUUGAUAAAAAUAAAUCUUUAUGUUAAAGUUAGACGGUGGACCAUUGGGGGGUUUUUGUAAAAAUUGUUGGGCUCCUUUUUCUUUAAAAUAUUAAAAAUUAUUGUAGUGGGGCCAUCCACCUCAGAAAGCCAGAACAAGAAGAGAUGUGCUGGCCUGCUCUGCACAAGGUUGCGUAUCUUCCCUUUCUUCUAUUUUUUUGGGCAAAUGCUAAGUUACAAUAAUUGUAACAUACAUUCCUCAUGUGAACCACACAAACUGUGGGUCCUAUAAUUUUGUGUGGUUCACAUGAAGGAUGUAUGUUACAAUUAUUGUAACUUACAGGCUCCCAUUUUUUUGUGCUUAAAACUUUUGUUAUUUAGUCUUGUCCUCAUGAUAAAUUAACAACGCAAAGUAAAAUCAAGAACACUGAGGACAAUAUACGUGGCUUGGUAAGGUUGCCUACAUCCAAGAGAGAAAACAACGUAAUGUCACGCUCACGGCCUACUCAAGUUUGUCACGGAGACUAAAUUGACGCACAAGGGUUUCCUCAAUAAAAGUCCGCUCAAAGAUAGGAUGCGCUUAGCAGUAGAGUAUGGUCAACAGUGAGCUACCUCAUAUAAUUAGCGACCCGUGGUGUACUCGUAAAUUCACAAACUAAAGUGAGUGAGUCCAGCCUGAUUCUAGAACUCUUUAUAAAUCUCUGCAACUUAUAUUGUCUAAAUAAUUAUAUACUUACGUAUUCUAGAAUCUAAUAGAUUUUUAGGCAACUUACAAAAACUUGCAUGGAACCAUCUAGACCUAGGUGAGUCACUCUAUAAAUAAGGCAUGACGUCAACCAUUUUUCUUAACACCACAACACUAAACACCACACCACACACAACACACUAAGCAAACAACUCAAGCAUUAUUGUAAAGCUCUCUUAUAUUCUCUCUUUCGAGUAAUAAAAUUUACUUUGGCCAUAUUUCUCUCCUCUCUCUAGCUUUCUCUCAAGUAUCCUUGUUUGGCUAGCUUGAGAAAUUCUCUAAGCUUACUUAACAAUUUUUGUUCUAAAAGUUAUUUAAGUACCACAUGAGUUGCUGCGCAAAAUAUUUAUCCCGUGACAAUAAGCAUGUUUCAUCAAGGAAUGUCAACUAAAGAUUACAUUAUACACUCCUCAGAGAACAAAUGCCCGGUUUGCAAUCUUCUUUAAUCUCACUCAAUAACAAGAAAAUUGCUUAGAAAUGUGCACUGGUCACCAGCUUUUAAACCCCUGUUUCAAGUCUAUUCAGCGUGUAACUAAAUCACUGUUAGCUCUAGUAAGUUGCUAGCUCAGCACUGUCAUGUCACGAGUCGAGUAAUAGAAUUGGAAAAUGAUGUUUGAUCAGCCCGAACCCCUUAUGUUAGCUCAAACUCCUCUUAAACUCACAUCCAGUAACUACAUCUCAUGAAAGUUGCAAUUUAAUAUCUUAUUCAUUGGCUAUGAUCUAUUUGGUUUUAUUGAUGGAUCUAAAUUGGGUUUGCUAUCUCUUAUUUGAUCUUGGUGUUAGCAUUUUCUGUUGUACAAUGAUAUAUACUGAGUGAUAAUACUGGGGCCAAUCAACUCUGUUAUAGUCCCAUUUUUUCGUUCAAGAAUGAAGCAUGUUGCUAUUGACUUUCAUUUCAUAAGAGAUAGAGUCCAACGUGGUGCUCUUCAUGUUACUCAUGUGUUUUCUGCAUAUCAGAUAGCUGAAGCUCUCACCAAGCCUCUUCCAUGAGCCCGUUUUCUCACUCUCAAGGUCAAGAUUGGACUUCUCUCCCAAGCUCCGUCUUUAGGGAGCAUAACAACAAAUUAUUAUCCUUAGCUGUAACUAUUAUUUAUUCAAAUAUUUUUUAAUUUUGUAUUUUUUUAUCUUUUCUCAACUAUAAAAAUCACAACACUAGUUCUCAGGAUCUGUAACAAUAUUUUGUUAGUCUCUGAUUAUACUAAUGAAUGAGAAAUGUGAGCCAUUACCCUAAAAACUCAAGCUCUGUUAACUUGUACAUAUGGAUAAAAUUAAAUAGAGUAGUGCUAUACAUCACAAAAUUUUACCUCAAUUAAUUUGACAUUCAUUCAUUGUUUGAUGAGAUAAUACAAUUAAUUCGCUUAAAAUUUAUGAAAAAUAAUUAACAAUUUAAUGAAUGAACAUCAUAUGACACAUUAUUUAGAAUGAAAAUUUGAGAGAAUAUUUUAUAUUUCUAUGUAAAUGAAUUUAUUUUUUAGUGAAAUAUGUCUUAUUUUUAGUGGUCACGUGUAAUUUUAUAUACAAAUAGUAUCAUUCUAUGUUAAACUUUUUUUUUCUUUUUUUGACUUUUUAGGCCUAACCUCGGGCUCUCCGCCCAUGCGGUGAUUGUAUCAUCAUUCAUCACUCAAUAGAAUUAGUAGAAACCAACAAUUAUGCUACCUUGCACGAAGCAAAGCAGAAUAAAAAAUACAUGAAUUAUUGAAAGGACUCAAAUGUCCUGUGUUGGACCUUCUGAUCAACCUAGCAACUCUACUGAUGCAAUAACUAAACACAACCAAAGCAAAAACCCAGGAGAACCUAAGACCACCACCAGAUACAACAGAGCAAGAUAAAGAACUUUAAAGACUGAAGACAAAGGUAACGUGGUUCGAUAUCAAGGUACCUACAUCCACGAUCAGGAACAACAGAACUAGAGUUUUAUUAGAAGAUGAACUAAGAAGGUUACAAUGGAGUCUCACAGAGAGUAAGAACUUGAUAACACUCACACAGAGAGUUUAUUCUCUCAACAAACUCACACUAAUGUUCUCGAUAACCUCACGCUAAUUAGCUCUCUUUCUGAAGCUUCUUCUUAUAGCUAUCAGUUAGUACAGCUGGUUAUAACAACUAAUUAAACCACUUGGGGACCCACCCUUGCUGACUCAGCUUUCCACAUCAGCUUGUAUAACCGAAUAUAACUAAUUUGAUUCCACAAAUCUCCACCUUAGUUUACUCGGUUAUAACUCUACUCAUUACUGCUCCAGAAUAUUAGUUAACUUGACUUACAAGUUAAUAACCCCAAUCAAGUCCAAGGAGUUCCUGAACUUAACUGUUGGUAAAGGCUUCGUUAACAUGUCUGCUGGAUUUACUUCAGUAGGAAUUUUAAUGACAUUAAUCACACCACUUCGAAUUUUAUCCCUAAUAAAGUGCAUCCUCACAUCCGCAUGCUUAGUUCUUUCAUGAUAUUUGGGGUUUUUGCUCAACUGUAUUGCACUUGAGCUAUCACAAUUGACAGUGACUGAUUCUUGUUCCAAACCCAGUUCUGUGACUAACCCCUUCAACCAUAAUGCUUCUUUCACAGCCUCUGUUAAAGCAAUAUACUCUGCCUCUGUUGUUGAAAGGGCAACUACUGAUUGUAGUGUUGACUUUCAGCUCACAGCUCCACCACAGAGGGUAAAUACAAGACUAGUGACAGAUCUUCUCUUGUCUAAAUCUCCUGCAAAAUCAGAAUCAACAUACCCCAAAACCUUGCUUGAGGCAUUGCUGACCUGUCCAAACAUCACUCCAUGUCCUUCUGUACCUCUAAGAUACCUUAGUAGCCAUUUAAUAGCCUCCCAAUGCUCUUUGCCUGGAUUCCCCAUGAACAUGCUAACAAGGCCAAUCCCAUAUACAACAUUUGAUCUAGUGCAGACCAUAGCAUACAUAAUGCUACCAACUGCACUAGAGUAUGGAAUUCUCCUCAUGUGAUCAAUGUCUGCUUCUUCUUGUGGAGCAUGUUGGUUGGAGAGUUUGAAGUGUGUUGCUACUGGAGUAGUGACAUGUUUUGAGUUCACUAUCCCAAAUAUAUUGACAACCCUUUUUAGAUAUCCUGUUUGAGUGAGAAAUAAAGUCUUGGCAUGUCUGUCCCUCUUUAUUUGCAUUCCCAGUAUCUUAGCAGCAAGACCCAAAUCUUUCAUUUCGAAUACUGCCAUUAACUCAGCCUUGAGCUUAUUAAUUUCUUCUUUAUGUUUAUAUGCUAUGAGCAUGUUAUCAACAUAGAGAAGUAGACUGAUUUGAUCUCCUGAGUUCAGUUUUCUAAAGUACACACAGUUGUCAUAUUCACUUCUGUUGAAGUUAUGACUUAACAUAAACUCAUCAAAUCUCAAGUACCAUUGCCGAGGAGAUUGCUUCAACCCAUAUAAACUUUUCUUAAGUAAGCAAACCAUGUCUUCAGUUCUUUCUUCAACGAAGCCCUCUGGUUGUGCCAUUAGAAUUUCUUCUUUUAAGUUUCCAUGUAAGAAGGCAGUCUUCACAUCCAUCUGGUCCAGUUCUAAAUCAAAGAAAGCUGUGAUGGCUAAUAUGACCCUUAUAGAGGAGUGUUUAACUACAGGUGAGAAGACUUCAUUGAAGUCUAUCCCUUCAUUUUGUGUGAAGCCCUUUGCCACAAGUUUAGCCUUGUAGCUCACUGAUUCAUCUCUAGAAACUCCAUCCUUGAGCUUGAAGAUCCAUUUGCAUCCCACUAACCUUUUUUCAGCAGGUCUCUGAACCAGAACCCAAGUAUUGUUUUUCUUGAGUGAUAUCAUUUCAUCUUCCACAGCACUCAGCCAUUUCCCCUUGUCUCUGCUAGUCAUAGCCUGUUUGAAAUUUUCAGGUUCUUCUUCAGUCAUCUCAUCAACAACCAUCAGUGCAAAAGAUAUCAGGUCUGCUAUCCCAUAUCUUUUGGGCAUUUUAACUACCAUUCUUUCUCUAUCUCUUGCAAGCUGGUAGUUAUCAAGUUCUGAGGCUUUGUUAACUCCAUGAUGAGACUCUGUAAUCUUUUCACUUUCUUUCAAAAUGUCUUUGGACUCCACCUUCAACUCAGAUUUAUUUAAAGGUUUAGAAACUUUAAUUUCUGUUCCAACCUUUUGCUGCAACAUAGCCUCUUCAUCAAACACUACAUCUCUGCUGAUCAGAGUUCUUGAUGGUUUGCCAUUUAAGCACCAAAUCUUGUAUCCCUUUAUGCCUUCUGGAUACCCUAUGAAGUAUCCUUUCACAGCCCUUGGUUCUAGCUUGCCCUGACUUAUAUGUGCAUAAGCUGGGCAGCCAAAUACCCUGAGAUUACUAAGAUUUGGUGGCUUCCCUGACCAUACUUCUUGAGGUGUUUUGAAGUCCAAGGUUGAUGAUGGGCUCCUGUUUAUCAGAUAUACAGCUGUAUUUACAACCUCAGCCCAGAAUUGUUUAGACAGAUUAGCAGUUAACAACAUGCAUCUGACCUUUUCAAUUAAGGUCCUAUUCAUUCUUUCAGCCAACCCAUUUUGUUGGGGAGUGUUUCUAACUGUCCUGUGCCUAGCAAUGCCCUUUGACUUACAGAAAUUUUGAAAGUCCUUGUUAUAAUAUUCUAAACCAUUGUCUGUUCUUAGUCUCUUAAGCCCUUUUUCUGUUUGAUUUUCCAUGAGUGUAGUCCACUAUUUAAAUCUUUCAAAGGCUUUAUUCUUAUGUUUCAGCAUAUAGACCCACACUCUUUUGGAGUAGUCAUCUAUGAAGGUUAUGAAGUAUCUGGCUCCACCAUGAGAAGGGACUUGUGAUGGACCUAAAAGGUCUGAAUGAACAUAGUCUAAAGUUUGUUUAGUUUCCUUUUUUCCAGGGUUGAACCUAUGCCUUGUUACUUUCCCAAACACACAUUUUUCACAAAACUGUAAAGAGGUGAUCAUAUCAUUUCCCAGCAGCCCUUGCUUGCUCAGUUCUUUCAUUCCAUUCUCACCCAUGUGUGUUAACCUCAUGUGCCAUAGUUUGGUUCUAUCACUGCUUACACUAGCUGUGAUUGCUAGUUUAGUUGUUGAGCCAGUGAGUACAUAUAAACCAUUUCUUCUUAUGCCCUUCAUUAUGACCAAACCAUUUUCUUCAAUCUGAAGGUUACCAUUUUCUGCUUUUAUACUACAGCCUACCUGAUCCAUUACUCCUAAGGAUAUUAGAUUCCUUUUUAAUUCUAGGACAUAUCUGACCUGUUUUAGAUCUCUUUCAAUCUCAUCAAACAUCCUAAUAUUAAUGGUUCCAAUUCCAGCUACUUUACAGGCAAGAUUGUUACCAAGCAAGACCUUCCCACCAUCAACUUAUUCAAAUGUCCUAAAGAAAUCUAUAUUUGGACACAUAUGGAAGGAGCAACCUGAGUCGAGUAUCCACUCACCUGAAGGUUGCUUUUCUGCAGCAAUGAGAACAUCUGCAUAAUAUGAUAUUCCUUCAUCUUCUGAGGCUACAGCAGCCUUCCCAUUUGUUUCUUUCUGUAAUUUUUCCAGCCUCUUCUUCUCAAAAAAGUCUUUGAUGUAAUGUCCUUCUUUGUCCCAAAAAUAACACUUUCUUUUCUUUUUCUUCUUGUCUCCUUUGUCUUUCUGGUUGUUGUUCUUCUUAUCUUUGUUGAAUUUCUUAUCAGGUUUAGCUCUGGCAACUAAGCUUUUAGCAGGGUUUAGAUCCUUUCCAUAUGUUCUUCUCUUUAAGUCCUUCGAUUCCAAGGCAUUCUUUACAUCCUUUAGUGUGAGUGUCUGUCUCCCAUAAAGCAAUGUAUCAACAAAAUGCUCAUAGGAAUCUGGAAGUGAGCUUAAUAGGAUUAUGACUCUGUCUUCAUCCUCAAGAUCUAUGUUUACAUUUUCAAGAUCCAUAAUCAGUUUGUUGAACUCAUCCAAAUGGUCCUUCAAAGUUCUUCCAUCCUUCAUUGAAAAUGUGUACAGUUUUCUUUUCAUGUACAAUCUCUUGGCUAGUGACUUCUUUAAGAAUAAUUCUUCCAGCUUAGCCCAUAAACCAGAAGCAGUCUUUUCUUUAGCCACCUCUCUUAGCACUUCAUCUGAUAGGUGUAAGAUGAUAGUGCUGUGAGCCUUGUUAUUUAUGAUUCUUUUAUCUGCACCAGUACUAGAUGAUCAUUCUUCCUUCCCUUUCUGGACUUUUGAAUCUUCAUCUUCUUCGAGUGCAGUAUUCAACCCUUGUUGAAUGAUGAUUGCCCUCAUUUUAAGACUCUACAAAUAGAAGUCAUUUUCUCCAUUAAACUUUUUAAGAUCGAAUCUUGUAGAUCCCAUUUUUGAGAAUUUCUCAGAGCAAGAUAGAUGGACCAAGCUCUGAUACCAGUUUGUUGGACCUUUUGAUCAACCUAGCAACUCUACUGAUGCAAUAACUAAACACAACCAAAGCAAAAACCCAGGAGAACCUAAGACCACCACCAGUUACAACAGAGCAAGAUAAAGAACUUUAAAGACUCAAGACAAAGGUAACGUGGUUCGGUACCAAGGUACCUACAUCUACGAUCAGGAACAACAGAGCUAGAGUUUUAUUAGAAGAUGAACUAAAAAUGUUACAAUGGAGUCUCACAGAGAGCAAGAACUUGAUAACACUCACACAGAGAGUUUCUUCUCUCAACAAACUCACACUAAUGUUCUCGAUAACCUCACGCUAAUCAGCUCUUUUUCUGAAGCUUCUUCUUAUAACUAUCAGUUAGUACAGCUGGUUAUAACAACUAAUUAAACCACCUGGGGACCCACCCUUGCUGACUCAGCUUUCCACCUCAGCUUGUAUAACCGAAUAUAACUAAUUUGAUUCCACAUCCUGCAUUUCAUUAGCAAUAGAAUAAUGAUAUGUGCACAAAAAAUAGCACUGCAUUAGAAAAAAAAAUUCAGUGUUAGACAAUAUAUAUUUGACUUGUAAAUAAAUAAAUAUUGUCUUUUGUAUUUUUGUGCUUUUUUUCCUACGAGUAUCAUUAUUCUUUAUGAUAAUAGAUAACAAUAACGUGAAAACUGAAAAUGUACCAAAGCUAUAUAAUGGCUUGCAAUUAAAACCUGCAUUAAUAUGGGUCUUAUUCAACAUUUUGGUCAUACUGGUCUGUAUUAGGGCAAAGUAGCAUUAUUGCCAUCAUUUUGGUCAUAGAAUUAUGUUAUUAUCGAUUGAGUUCUAUGAUUAAUAACUAUCGUUUUAGUCUCCUCACCUUUUCACCCAUUGCUUCCCCCUCAUUGUUAGGUGGUAAUCUACAAACGCCAAUUCAAUAUCUAUGAUUUUGAUCUAUUGAUUCAAUUCAUAUCAAAAUCAUAUAUAAUAUGUGACUAUUAUCAAUGUGUAUCAACACUACUUUUUCUCGUUUUACUAAUUGUUAGUUAUAAUUUUAAUAAAUGAGAUUUUUUGGGUUGGCAGGUAAAAUUGCCAUCCAAGAGAGUGAUCCAUUAAAAAUUAUAUUGGAUUUCCUAAUGAAAUUGUAGCCUUGUACUUGUCAGAGUGGUUACACAAUUAAAUAUUAAUAUAAUGUUUCAUUUAAGACUUUUAUUUACACCAACCCUAGAGGCUACGCAAGUAAAAACAAAAUUUUAACUCAUGGACCUUUAGCUGCGGCGGUGGUGCCUGGUUGUAUGCACUGUUCAACAGGUAUAAAUGUGUUCACCAAACUUUCCGUUGUCAAGUUUCUUUUCUUUUUUAAAAGAUAGGAUGAACAAAAUUACUUGAAAUUAUCAAAUAGAAUGACAAUGAAAUCAAUUUUUAAUUUAUUCACUACAAUGAAAUGAAGAGUGAUUAAAUAUGCACAUGAAAUAAUCAAUAAUGCUAGGAUCUUGACAUUUGAUAAGAUCUUUACAUAUUUGAACAUAUUCAACUGAAUAUCUCAUUCAUAUUUUCCUUUUCUUUUUCCAUGAAUAUGACAUUCAUAUUUAAUCACUCUUUAUUUGAUCAACAACCCAACAUUUGCUUAUUGUCAUGCUAACCAACUGGACUGUCAUGUAUUAUGAACUAUAUUCAUUGUUAUGUAUUGGAAACUAUAUUAUGGACUAUAUUCAAAGUAGCAUUAUUGCCAUCAUUUUGGUCAUAGAAUUAUGUUAGCAUUGAUUGAGUUCUAUGAUUAAUAACUAUUAUUAGUCUCCUCACUUUUUCAUCCAUUGCAUGCCCUUCAUUGUUAGGUGGUAAUCUAAAAACGCCAAAUAAAUAUCCUACCUAUUUUGAUCUAAACUAUUGCUUUAAUUCCCAUUACAAGAAAAAUAAUAUUUUAUUACAAAAAAUUUAGUAACCAAAGAUAAUAAGUUAGUCACUUUAUAUGUUUUACGACAAAAAAUAAAUUGUCACAUGUUAGUCGUGAAAAGACCAUCUUAAAAUAUUUUAACGACCAAAAUUAUUUUGGUCAUGUUAAAAAUAUAUUUUUUGUGAUAAAAAUCAUUGUCUUAAAAUUAAGUUAAAAUCAUCACAAAUGGUAUUCAAAAUGACCAAAUUAGAGAUUCAAAAAUGCAAUCAACGAUAUUUGACAUUUGUCAUGAUAAAUGAUUUAUAGUGACUAUAAUAUUUAUCUCAAGAUUAUGUAAAAUAUAGUCGCAAUAAUUACUAAAAAUCGUCAUUUUAGAGGUUCGAAAAUAUAAUUAGCAACGCUUUUUUCUACUGUUGAAGUUUAUUUAUCACAACAUUACAUAAUCAUCCCAAAUAAAAAAUUUGUUUUAAGGACAAUUUAUUUUGUUAUUUCAUGACCAGUUAAUUGUAUAAAAAAAAAAUAAAUGACCUUUGCAACAACUACAUUUAGUCAUUAAAAUUAACAUUUUAUGACAGAACCCUUCAUUACAAAAUCUAUGUAAUGUAGUCUCACAUUAUUUUUAACCACAAUAUAUUUUAUUAUUUGGCUACUGUUUAUAUCGUAUCCAAAAAAUUGAAGUGACUUCUCUCAAUCAUAAUUAAAAAACAAAAUAAAUCCACAACAACAUAUUGUGUUAAGAUUUCAUUGGCUUUACUUGACUAAUUGAGAGAGAUUGUUUCCUUAUAUAUGGCUGAUUUAUAAUCCCUUUGAAUAUAGGAUCGUUAUUUACUUUCCUUUGUUUUGUGAAUAUUUGCUCUUGUAAACUCAUAUAUAAAUUCUCUGUAAUUCUACUGCAAUACAUAUAGAAGAAUAAAAUCAGUGUUCUUUUCAAAUGUCAUUUUUUCAUGGUAUCAGAGCAAUGGUUUUGAUUCGGUAAAACACUUUCGCUUCUUUUUUUUUAUGGAUGAUAUUGAUAUUGAUAGUGAUAGCGGUCACAAUCAUUCACCAAAUCAUAUAUCUUCUCAAACCUCUCAUCACACUAUGUCUAUGUCUACGGUUGAUUCCUCAGACCCUAUUUUUCUUCAUGCUUCUGAUCAUCCUGGCAUGAUUCUUGUUCCAAAAGUCUUAGAUGGAACAAAUUAUGCUAUUUGGAAGAGAUCUAUGCUAGUGAGUCUUAAUACAAAAAACAAACUGGGAUUCAUCAAAGGAACCAUUCACACACCAGAUGAAGAUGAUCCAAAACAUUCUUUAUGGCAGCGCUGCAACGAUAUGGUGCUUUCCUGGAUCCUUAACUCUCUAAAUCAGGAGCUUGCAAAUAGUGUACUCUAUUUAGAGACGCCCUCAAAGAUUUGGACUGACCUUCAAGAACGUUUCUCUCAAGGUGAUUUUUCCCAGCUUGCCCAAAUAAAAGCUUUCUUUAGAAAUGGUAACAAUCCUGCUCGAGCAAACUACACAGGUAUCCUUAUACCUUUCUGUUCAUUUUUCAAUACGCAAAAGACAGACUUGAAUAACUAGAUUAUUGAUAGUGGUGCAACAAAUCACAUAGCAACUUCAAUACCUAUUAAAACUCAUAUGUCAUCUCAAGUAACCUUGCCUAAUGGUGCCUAUUCUAAGAUAACUGAAAUUGGCUCAACACAACUCUCAAACCAUCUACAUGUUAAUAAUGUAUUAUGUGCACCAUCAUUUCAUGUUAAUUUACUUUUAGUGAGUCAACUUACUGCUGCCAUGAAUUGUUCAAUCCAUUUUUUUCCCACUUUCUGUAUAUUGCAGGACCUAGCUUCGAAGAAGAUGAUUGGCUUGGGGAAGCAGCUUAAUGGCUUGUACUACUUUGUUCCUCAAGUGAAGUCUACACUAACUUCUUUUUCAAUCACCCAUCAUGCUGAUUCUACUACACAUAUUACUUGGCACAAGCGGUUAGGACAUCCCUCAAAAGCACCUUCACAAUUUUUAAGCAAUAUUAUUCCUGCAUUCGUAUUUGAUUCUCAACAUUCCUGUGAAACUUGCCAUUUGGCAAAGCAAACUCGUUUACCAUUUUCUUCAAGUUCUAUUCAAACUUUGCAUUCAUUUGAUCUUAUUCAUUGUGAUAUUUGGGGACCUUUUCGUACUGCAACUCAUAUAGGGGCACAUUAUUUCCUGACUAUAGUUGAUGAUUACACUCGUUUCACUUGGAUUUUUUUAAUGAAAUUUAAAUCUGAAACCCAAGGAUUAAUAAAAACAUUUAUUUCUUUUGUGAACACUCAAUUUAAUUGUCAAGUUAAAUAUCUUAGAAGUGAUAAUGGCUCAGAAUUUCUUUCCAUGAAACCUUAUUUAUCAACCCUUGGUAUUUUAUUUCAAAGCUCCUGUCCAUCUACACCUCAACAAAAUGGUGCGUUGAACGAAAACAUCGUCAUCUCUUAAACGUUAGUCGGGCUUUGAGAAUUGAUGCCAAUCUUCCUUUAAAAUUUUGGGGGGAGAGUUUACUUACUGCAGCCUAUCUUAUAAAUCGUCUUCCCACUCCCUUGUUGCAAUAUAAAUCUCCAUAUAAGUUGUUGUAUAAUAAGCCACCUAACUACACUCACUUACGAGUUUUUGGAUGUCUCUAUUAUGCAACAAAUCUACAGUCGUCUAAUAAGUUUGAUUCUCGGGCUCGACAAUGCAUCUUUGUUGGUUACUCUAUAGGCCAAAAAGCCUAUCGAUUAUAUGAUCUCCAUACUCACCAAUUCUUUUCCAGUCGUGAUGUCAUUUUUCAUGAGUCUAUUUUUCCUUUUCUUCGUAUCAAAAAAUCAUUAGAUAGCCCUUUUCCUCAGCCUGAGAUAUUAGAUUACAUCGAUGAUCUAUCUCCUUCUGUAACUCAUCCUGUCCCUCCAGCAUCAGAGACUAUUAUUCCCUCUCUUAAUCCUUUAUUGUCAUCAACUUCUUCCCCUUCUUCCUCUAUAUCUUAUCCUGCCCCUCAUAUUUGUAAAAAGUGACCAUGUAAGGCAACAAUCUGUUCUCCUUCGUGACUUUCAUUGUGGACAGAUUAGUACAACACCAUCAACUACAGCUUCAAGUCAGUCAUUUUCAACUAAGUCAGGUACUCAAUAUCCUUUAAGCAAAUACAUUAUCUUUGUCUUCUACUCAUAAACACUUUGUUAACACCAUUUCAAGUGUCCUAGAACCAACCUCUUAUGCUCAGGCUGUAUUGGAUCCGAAAUGGAAAGAGGCUAUGCAACGUGAACUUGAUGCUCUCAAUUCAUAGAAGACAUGGUCCUUGGUCCCUUUACCUGCUGGUCAUCAACCCAUUGGCAGCAAAUGGGUUUAUCGUAUCAAAUACAAUUCUAAUGGUACGAUUGAACGUUACAAAGCUCGAUUAGUCGCCAAAGGAUUUUCUCAAUAAGAAGGCCUGGAUUACACUGAGACAUUUGCUCCUGUGGCUAAAUUGACCACUGUUCGUUGUUUACUUGUUGUGGUUGCUGCAAGACAUUGGCCAUUGUAUCAAAUGGAUGUGACCAAUGUUUUUUUGCAUGGUGAUUUAGAAGAAUAAGUAUAUAUGACUCCACCGCCGGGACUUUGUCAACAGGGGGAGAAGCUUGUUUGUCAACUUCAUAAGUCCCUUUAUGGGCUUAAACAAGCUCCUCGCAAUUGGUUUGCGAAAUUUUCUCAUGCUGUCAAGAAAGCUGGCUUUAUUCAAUCACAUUCGGAUUACUCGUUGUUUGUAAAGACAAAUGGCACAUCUAUAACCACAGUUCUUAUUUAUGUAGAUGAUAUGGUGAUAACCAGAAAUGAUGCAGUCGCUCUACAUAAUCUCAAACAAUUUCUUCACCAACAAUUUCAUAUCAAAGAUCUCGGUCUUCUUAAAUAUUUUCUUGGGCUGGAAGUUGCAAGGUCUAAAGCAGGUCUUGUUAUCUCUCAACGAAAAUAUACCUUAGAAAUCCUAGAUGAUGUUGGAUACUUGGGUGCUCAACUGGUAAAUUUUCCCAUGGAGAUGAAUUUGAAGCUCACAAACCAUUAAGGUGAUUUGCUGCAUAAUCCAACUCGCUACAGGAGAUUAGUUGGCCGACUAAUAUAUCUCACAAUUACGAGACCAUACAUUACAUACUCAGUUAACAUCUUAAGCCAAUUUAUGCAUGCUCCAAGAAAGCCUCACUGGGAUGCUACUCUUCGUAUUAUUAAAUAUUUAAAGGGCAACCCUGGUUUAGGUUUGUUAUUCUCCUCAAGCAGUUCCUUUACUUUAAAGGCUUACUGUGAUGCUAAUUGGGCAACUUGUCCUAUAACAAGAAGAUCAACAACAUGUUAUUGUGUGUUCUUAGGGGAUUCUUUGAUUUCUUGGAAAGUAAAGAAGUAGAAAACAGUCUCAAGAUCAUCAUCAGAAGUUGAGUACAGGUCCAUGGCAGCAGCAACCUGUGAGCUCACUUGGCUUAGAUUUUUAUUCAAUGAUAUGCAAAUUUCCAUAGGACCAGCAAGGCUAUUAUAUGAUAACCAAGCUGCUCUUCACAUAGCAACAAAUCUGGUAUAUCAUGAACGCACCAAACACAUAGACCUUGAUUGUCAUGGAGUAAGGGAGAAAAUACAAGAUGGUCAGAUAAUCACGAAAUUUGUUCCAUCUCAUUUACAGUUGGCAGACAUUUUUACAAAAGCUCUUGGAGGAAAAGUGUUUAAGAGGCUAACAACCAAGUUGAACAUGCUAGAUAUACAUGCUUCAACUUGAGGGGGAGUGUUAAGAUUUCGUUGGCUUCACUUGACUAAUUGAGAGAGAUUGCUUCCUUAUAUGUGGCUGAUUUGUAAUCCCUUUGAAUAUGGGAUCGUUAUUUACUUUCUUUUUUUUGUGAAUAUUUGCUCUUGUAAACUUAUAUAUAAAUUCUCUGUAAUUCUACUGCAAUACAUAUAGAAGAAUAAAAUCAGUGUUCUUUUCAAAUAUCAUUUUUUCAUAUUGUAGUGGCAUAAAUUGAAAUUUAGUGACCAAAAAAAUUGUAGUCACGUGAAAAAGGAUUUAAAAUAUGUAAUUACAAUCCAAAAGAUUCAAAUACAAAGCAUGACAUUGAAAUCCAAAUAAAUAUUGUUCCUUGCAAAGAAAUAUAAAGAUAAAAGUCAUAAAACAAAGUCUUUUUUGUUUCAAGUACCAUUGGAUUUAGAUGUUGCACAUGAGAGUUGAUCAACCACGAUGAACAGAAGACAGUUUACAACGAUUCUACUUUUUUUUUCCUGAUCGUUUAUGUAAUUAAUUUUGUUAGAAAAUGUUAUUAAGGAUUAAAUUACUUGAAAAACCAAAAAAAAAAAAAAUCUUCAGUAUAAAAGUUAAGAAAAUGUAUCGACAAAAGUUAGAAGUAUUUAAUAAAGGUUAGCCAUAACUUCAUUAUGCAAAAUUGCUUUAAUAAAGUAGCUAAACAUAAACAAAACUCGGCAACUAUAAAGACCUACAAUAGUAGGCUAAAAUAAAUCACAACCAGCAAUUGUAGUGAUCCAAAAGCAACAUAGAAAGAUUGGAAAAUAGUAAAAAGCAAUGUAUGAAAUUAAGAGAAAAUAGUGCCAAAAAAACUACAAAACUCAAUAAAUAAAGUAGGAAUACAACAAUAUAUUAAAGAAGAUUAAUGCAUUAUUACUGUGUUACUAAGGUUUUUUUAGUAACAAUGUUGUCUCCAAUUGAUUUUAUAGGGGCUACACGUAAUUGAUAAUUUCAUCCAACACUAGGGCCUUUCCAAUUACCUAAUUUUAUGCCAAACCAUAUGACGUUUAUAAGAAUUAUUAUAAGCAUGAAAACUCAUAAUUUGUUUUAAAACAGGAAAGAGUAUAAAAAUAAAUAAAAAGAAGAAUUCAAAUUACUUAAUUACCACAGCCAGUAACAAGUUUUUGUAAAAUUUUCAUCCUCUCACUAACUUUCUCUCUUCUUACUUGAAACCAAAUAAUGACAAGACCUUAUAAAAAAAAUAAUGACAAGACAACUACCCGUUAGACUUUCACAAAAAUUGGAAAUUAAAAUAAUGUAAUAGGUGAUUAGGGAUAAAAAGGAAAAAAAAAGUUUGAAUUUGUAUCAAUGUACUCAUCCUUUUGCUAAUAUAUAUUUGACAAUCAUCAGAUUGUACUAACACUACCUUUCCUCCUUUUACUAAGUAUUAGUCAUAAUUUUAACGGAAGAGAUUUUUGGGUUGGCGGGCAAUAUUGCCAUCAGAGAGAGUGAUCCCUUGAAAAUUAUGUCGGAUUUCCUAAUGGAAUGGCAGCCUUUCACUAGCUAGUCAAAGUGGUUCCACAAUUUAAUAUUAAGAUAAUGUUUCAUUUAUAUGACUUUUAUUUACACAAACCCUAAAAGGCUGGGCAAGAAAACACCAAAUUCUGACUCGUAGACCUUUAGCUGGUUGUAUACACUGUUCAACCAGCGUAAGCAUGCUCACCGAAUUAACUUUCUAUCGUCAUGUUUCUUUUCUUUUUUAAAAGAUAGGAUGAAUAAAAUACAAAUUAUUUUGUAGUCCCUAUUAUUUUUAAGAUUCGAAAUUUAGUUGAUUAGCACAAGAAAAUUACUUAAAAUUAUCAAAUUGAAUGGCAAUAAAAUCAAUUUUUAAUUUACUCACGACAAUGAAAUAAAGAGUAAUUAAAUAUGCACAUCAAAUAUGCACAUCAAAUCAUCCAUCUACUGCAUAUGUCGUCCAUAUAUUUUUUUUUCUUUCAUUCAUAUUUAAUGCUUUAUUUCAUCACCAACCGUCCAACCCAACAUUUUCUUAUUGUCCUGCUAACCAACUGGACGAUCAUAUAUUAUGAACUAUAUUCAGUGUUAUUUAAUUAUAUAUCUACUUGUACUCCAAUGUUCUCUCUCUAUCUCUUUUGUUUUUUUUUGGCUUUUUAAUAACUAUUUUAAUUAAUCAAGCUUAUGAAUAAUGAGGAUUGAAUAUUAAAGAGUUUAAUUGUAUAGGAGCCAAUUUGUGAAAAAGAAACUACAGUUUGAUUCGAUUUAACCUAGCUCUAAAUUCACCUUUCAUUGUUAUUCCGCCGUCUGCAAGAUGGAUGGAUGCACCAUGCCCAUUAUUUCAGGGAACUGACUUAAGCGACCACACUGCAAAUGUAAUUUGCUACGAGACACAAUUAUGCAUAAUUUUUCAACAUGUUUCUAGAUGUCAAAAGUAUCUAUCAAUAAUUGAAUGACACUUAUCACGUUAUCACUUUUCAUUAGGUCACAUCUGUGAUUCGCAAAAGCUCUUGUAUGUGGAGAGGAAUUAAUUGAGUUUUGUUUUCAUCGCCUCCAACGUUACGUACCCAACGCCAAUCGAGUGGGCUCCCCCGACUGUACUCGCACCCAUCCCAUAUUCCCACCCAAUAUUGGGUUCACGGAUUCGAGUUCCAUUCUUAUGAUAGGAUUCUUGAUAUUUUAAGUAAGAAUAAACAAUUGAAUACACACACCCACACGUAUGUAUGUAUUAUAAUAUAUAUAUAUAUAUAUAUAUACAAACACUUAAAAAACUUUUACUUCUUGGUAAUAUUUAAAGAUAAUAUUAUAUUUACUUAAUUGAGAUAUUUAUAUUUAUGGAUAAAUAAUUAUUAUUUUUUAUUUUUUAUUUAAAUAAUAAAUUUUUAUCCCUAAUACAUUAAUUAAUAUAUCAACUAAAUAUAUUAAAUUAAGAAAUUUUUUAGAAUACAUCAUAAAUAUCAUAUCAAUUAUAUAAUAAUUAAAUAAUAUUAUAACAUGUGUGUAUUUAUUUAAAAAAAUAUUAUAUAAAUAAUAAUUAUAUUAAAUUUAACUAUCCGUACAAUAAUUAAUUAAUUGUAAUACAAAUGACUCAAUCAAAUAAAAACAGUAAUUCUGUCCUGGGGGUUUUUAAUUAAAGAUGCCUUAAAAGUAGGGUAUUUAGUUAAAUAUACCACAUGCUUAAAAAUUAUCUAGAUAUACAUUUUUAUGUGGUACAUUGUCUAAAAUAUCCCUAAAGAAAAAUAUAAAACACACACAACUCACCUCCAACACUCUUUACUUCUCACUUUUUUUAACUCCACACAACAAAAACUCACUCCACACUUAAAAUCACUCACGAACAGCCAAUGUACUGAGAUUUUAGUUUGCAGCUGGGUGCAUUAUUCAUCACAUGAAUAAGGUAUUUGAAACUUUAUAUUUUAUUUUGUGUUAUUUAUUUAUUUUGUUGACAUUAUAUUAUUUUUAGGGUUUUGUUUGGUUUGUGAUAAACAAUAAAGCAACUCACAUUUUCAUUAUAUUUGCAUCAUAUGACUGUUAUUUGAUGGAUUUUAUAACUACAUUCGUUAAAACCUAAAGUUGCUGCCAAAAUUUUGUUCUGCACCCCAACAUACACGACAGCAGUCGUGUAUGUAUGGAUUUACACGACUGUAGUCGUGAAAAUGUGCAAAAGAUUCAAAUUAUUAUGACACCCUAUCAUUUUAUUGGUGCAAAAAAAUAUAUUAUUUUCACUAGAUAUAUCCUUUUACUAUUACUAGACUAUAGUUGUGUGUUUUAAUAAGUUACACGACUACUAUCGUAUACGUAUGAACUUAUAUAUUAUAAUUGUACAUAUAUGUAAAAUGUUCCAACUGUUAUGAGAUCCCAACAUUUUAUUAGUGCAAGAAAAAUAUUUUUUGAAGAAGAAAUGUGUCCUUUGACUAUUUAUAGUCAUGUAUUUCUAUAACUUACACAACUGUCAUCAUGUAUGUAUGACUUUCAUCAUGUAUGUAUGAAUUUACACGAUAGCAGUUGUGCAAGAUUGAAAGAUAUAGUAGCUGUUAUGACACAUAGUAAUCUAUUAGUAUAAAGAUUACAUUUUUUUACUAAACAUAUUCUCUAAUUGUUUACUAGACUAUAAUUGUGUAUUUUAGCAAGUUACACAAUUAUUGUCGUGUAAACUAGCAAUUACACGACAGCAGUCGUGUAAAUAGACAGACAGUUCCACACUUCAUAAUAUACCUUGUUUGAUUUUUUUUGUUUUUUUUUGUAUAAUCAUCUGUUGUAUUAUUGUAAGAAGUGACUUCAGUAUGUGUGCCUAUUAUUCUUUAGAAUCAUAAGAAAUUAGGAUAGCAUCACAAGGUGAAGAAAAGUUACGCCGUAAGUACGGUAGGUGUGGUUCUUAAUGAUAUAAUCGACUAACUUGCAAUGCACCAAUCUCAUUGUCUAACAAUGAGCCCGUAGUUAGACCGAAUGAAACAAAAACAAGCACACAUACUACUAUGAACCUUACAUACUUGUCAUUUUUGUUCUUUUAAUUUCUUUAAUAUCUAAAAUAGUUAGUUGAUAAAUUUCUACCUUUUUUGUUUUGCAACUGGAUAAACAUGUUUGUGUGGCUUAUGCUGUUUUCAAAAGGAGGCGAAUGGGGCCUUAUAAUACAUGGGUCAAGUCUUUGGGCUGAGCAUGCAAAUAAUUAUGAUGAUUGUGCAGCAACUUCCAUUGUAUUACGACUUAUUUAUGAUUUGAACAUGUAUUGGAUCUAUGUUGUUUGAUGUACAAUUACUUUUGUUAUUUGUUAAAUUGAAGUAUGAUAUGUUAAAGCCUAUGUUGAUUUUGUUGUCAUUAUAAUGAAUGUUUUGGGUAAUUUUAUGUUCUAUAUCCACUUACCCAACUACAGUCGUGUAUUUUGGCUCUUACUCGACUAUUGUCGUGUAUGUCUGAUUGUACUCAACUAUAAAUGUGAAUCUAUUAAAUACUCGACUAUUGUCGUUUAUUUAUGAAAAUACCCGACUAAAGUUAUGUACCAAUGCAAAUACCAAUUGGUUAUGUAUGUUUACAAAUACUCAACUGCAGUCGAGUAUCUGUGAAAAUACCCGACUGCAGUCGUGUACCAAUCCAAAUACCACCUGGUUAUAUAUGUUUGGAAAUACUCGACUGCAAUCGAGUAUCUGUAAAAAUACCCGACUGCAGUCGUGUACCAAUCCAAAUACCAGCUGGUUAUGUAUGUUUGUAAAUACUCAACUGCAGUUGAGUAUAUGUGAAAAUACCCGACUGCAGUCGUGUACUAAUGCAAAUACCAGCUGGUCAUAUAUGUUUGGAAAUACUAGAUUGCAGUCCAGUAUAUGUGAAAAUACCCGACUUCAGUCGUGUACCAAUCCAAAUACCAUCUGGUUAUAUAUGUUUGGAAAUACUCGACUGCAGUCGAGUAUCUAUGAAAAUACCCGACUGUAGUCAUGUACUAAUGCAAAUACUAGCUGGUCAUGUAUGUUUGUAAAUACUCGAUUGCAGUCGAAUAUCUGUGAAAAUACCUGACUACAGUCGUGAACCAAUGCAAAUACCAGCUAGUCAUGUAUGUUUGUAAAUACUCGACUGCAGUCGAGUAUUUGUGAAAAUACUCGACGACAGUCAUGUGUUUGGGCUGAGCAUUUCUUGAGCAUAUAUGACCAUUCUAUUACAUCACAUACAUCAUAAAAAACUAUCUUCUCUGUCAUUAAUAUACUUAAUAAAAAAAAACAUAUGUAUGAUGUCAAAUUAACUUUAAUGAUAUCAAAUAUCAACAACAUCCCAUUGUAAUAAUUACAUCUCAUGAUAAGUAAUCCAAAAAAUGACACAUCAAUGAAGUUUUUAAGAGUGGGACACUACGUAGUUUUUUUUCCAAGACCUACUCCAAAAUAAUUUGACAGCCAAUGCUUUUUGAAAUUGUGCAACAUCAUCUUGUUGGUAAUAUGAAUUGACAUCAGGUCAGUGGGCCAAGACCUCCAAGAACUGCAACAAAAAUGCUCCACAAUCACCACUAAAAACAUUCAUAUAAAUCAAUCGUUAAAAAUCACCAUUGUUAUUGUUAAGUCGAAAAAAUAUAAUUUCAAUUCGUAGUAAAAAUAAUACUUCAAAUUUAUUAUCACUGUCGUAAUAUAUUAUCAAUCUACUAAAUGAUCACACAACAUAAAAGCAACAGGUAUGAGAACUUUUUACAACUUAAAAAUGUUCUAUAUAUAAGACAACAUGACUUUCUUACAACUAGCAUCUACAAGAUCAGCAUAACUAUAUUAUUUCAAGAACAAACCCAUCAAAUUAAAAUAUAUUGCCAAUAACUAUGAACUCAAAUAAUUUUUAAAUGAGUACUAAACAAAAAUAAGAAAUAAACCAUCACUGCCACAUGACAUAAAAAUCAAACUUUAUGUAUCAAGUAUGUUAACAAUUCCAAAUAAAGUAUAAAUAUUCAAAGAAAAUGUUGAAUUUUUCCAUAACACUCAAACAAUUAAUUUUCAUUAGUUAAAUCUGAUUAAUAAGCUAUUAAGUAUGUGUAUAAUUAUCAAAAACUAAAAACAAGUCUAGGACGAGUGUAUUAAAGGGCAAUUCUCCAAUAGUUAACUAGUUGGAAAUAUAUACAACAACAUUUGCUGCACAAUAAUAUCAAAUCCUAAAUGCUAUGUGACUUCUUCAGUCAAUAGCCUCACAGUGAGACAAAUUAAUAAAAUGAUCCAACAUUGUUUCAAAAUUCACAAGUCGUUCAAAACACAUUUAUUAAUAGUGUACUAUCAAUAGUUUUAUGCUUAAAUAAAUAGCAAAUUGUUAAUAAAUUAGAAUUGCAAAAUAAAGGUUCUAUAGCAAAUAAUAGAGAAAACCCAGAUUGUAGCAUAAUGAAUGCAUACGUAGCUGAAGAAAAUUGAUAUAUAAUUCCCAUGGAUGAAGUUCAACUACAAACAACAAGUAAAAUUAUAUAAAGAUCUAAUGCAUAAACUAGUGUAGCCAUAACCGAGUAUUCAUAAGGAUAAUAUUUGUUUUAUCCAAUUCUCUAUGAAUAUUUAAUUAGGAACUCCCACAACCAUUAUUAAAGAGCCAUGAAAUCACUCUCUUCAAUUUCAAAUCCACAAGUUCAGGAAGCUUCAUUACAUUACCAACAAGAAAGAUUAUCAGUAAAUAAGCAAGAUAAUGACUAAAAUCAUGUGGGUAAUUUGUUUUUUAAAACCCUAAUGCAUAUAACCCUAACAAUUAUGCACCAUAAAUUCUCUUUAUAAAGUAAAAAUCAAGUGUAAAUGUGGUUAAUGACCUUUAGUUCGGUAAAUUUCCAGCCUUUAAUUCGGUGAUUUUGUAACCUUUAAUGUGGUGGAUGAACUUGCAGCAGCAGGAGCAUGAACUUGCAACAGCAGGCGUUGUGUAUGGUAGCUCGUGAAGGUAGAUUUUGAAAUUUGAAGAAUUAAAUUAGGGUAAUUCUGUAAUUGCACAUUGAAAAAGGUAUAUAAAAGAAAUUUUAAAUUAUGGGGAUGUAGUUGGAUAAAUACCUAACCUUUUAGGGUAUGGCGGGGACAAAUCCCUGUCUGUCCUGCACAGGCCAAAUCCUUUCGUUAUCAUCUUUACAAAAGCAAACGCCCUCCACAUUUUGUGCUCUGCUUCUUCUCCAUGGAUUCCGCCAACGCAUCAUCAGAAGUCGCCCAUGACUUCUCUCCUUUGAUAAAAGUACACAAAGACGGCAAAGUAGAAAGGCUUAGGGGCACCGAUAUCGUUCCCCCAUCACUUGAUCCCAAAACAAACGUUGAUUCCAAAGACGUUGUGUAUUCUCCUGAAAAUAAUUUAUCUGCUCGGCUUUACCUCCCGAAAAACACAAAUCAAAACCAAAAACUUCCCCUUCUUGUUUAUUUUCACGGCGGAGGUUUUUGCAUCGAGACUGCUUUUUCACCAACUUACCAUAAUUACCUCAACGACUUGGUCUCUGAAGCUAACAUCAUCGCAGUCUCGGUCGACUACCGAAGAGCCCCAGAGCAUCCCCUUCCUAUCGCUUAUGAAGAUUCAUGGGACGCAGUCAAAUGGGUUGCUUCCCAUGUUGACGGAAAUGGCCCCGAAGAUUGGCUCAACCGUAAUGCUGAUUUUGAGCAAGUGUUUUACUCUGGGGACAGCGCUGGUGCUAAUAUUGCUCAUCACAUGGCAAUAAGAAACGGUGGAGAAAUCAUCGACGGCUUUAAUGUUGUUGGUAUUGUCUUGAUUCAUCCAUACUUUUGGGGUGUUGAACCUGUUGGUUCCGAGCCUACUGAUGUUAAAAUAAGAGCUGGAACGGAGAGAUUUUGGCGAUUUACUUGUCCAAGCACAAGCGGGCUCGAUGAUCCGUGGGUUAAUCCGUGUGCUGACGGUUCGAGCCUCGCGAGCCUGGGGUGCGCCAGGGUGCUGGUGUUUGCUGCGGAGAAGGAUUUCCUGUGCCCUAGAGGAUGGUUUUACUAUGAGAAGUUGAAGGAAAGUGGGUGGGGAGGCCAUGUAGAGAUAGUUGAGUCUAAAGGAGAGCAACAUGUGUUCCAUUUGAUCAAUCCCACUUGUGAAAAUGCUGGGUCUAUGCUCAAGAAAAUUUGUUCUUUCUUCAAUCAGGAUAAGCCUUGAAACUGAAGAGUUAUUUGCUUUGGUUCGGCAAAUAUUCGGGAGGAAAGAUGAAUAAGGUAAUUAUAACUCUACUGUGUGUGUGUGAUUUUCUUUCCUUUUUUUUUUUUUUUUUUUCCCUCAGAAGAAAUAAGCAUCGGUUGAUUGCGGCUCAAAAUACAAGUGGGAUUCUGUGGAAUCAGAAUUCGGAAAAGGUUUUGGCCUUCUGGAAUCAUUGAUGUAUUAAUAAUUAGAUUCAUUCGUAAAUCAAUUAAGACAACUUGAUGUAUUAGUAGUACUGUUCACGGAGUCCAUCGAUUUGUCUUUGAUUUCGGAUCAGAAUAGAUCCAAUAUGAGCUCUGUUUCUUUCAAUUUUUAGCAACUUCAUUCAUUUCACUUAGCAAG
rnacentral:lncRNA from 1 species